rnacentral:lncRNA from 1 species
GUGUUGAGGUGCUUGUAGAAUGGGAGAUAAGAAUGACAAUGAUGGAGUUUGGUAGUGGCAGGAGGCAGUAUUGUUGCAUGUUGUGUUAUAAAUCAUUUGAAAUUGAUCUUAUGCUAUCAGUGCAGAAUCUUUAGUGAUGCGGUGUUCCUAUACCAUUGAGGUUCUGCAUGGAUUAGGGGUAUUUUGUUGGGGAAACUUUGGAUUUGACUGGAACUUCCCAAAGAAGUACCCCCCAACAAAGCACCCCCUGCAUAAUUCAUCUAAGUCAACCAGGAGUUGCAUGGCAAAAUUAGGAUAUCGAAUCAUAGACUCUGUACAUGUCACUUCAAGAAAAGAAAAAGGAAAGGAACUUGUAGCAGGACACUGACAUCUGAAAGCAUUCGGAGUAAAUUUCUAGAUGACAAAUAUCAGAUUCUGCAAAAAGGUCCUUGCAUUUUAUGCACAUGCUAGUUUCUUUCAGGGUUUGUGGGGCCCUCGCCCUUGUACUCUUUCCGUUCUUUAAUGAAAUGAUGUGCAGCUCUCCUGCAUGUUCAAGAAAAAAAUGGAAAAUAUAGAUACCGAUUUCCCCUACUUUGUGUAGCUAUCUGAUCUUAAAACAGUGAAGCUGAUGUACCUGAUGUUGUCAUCGGGAUCGGAUAAGUCUUGAUGCUAUACCAAUCUGUGUAGCAAUUCAUGUUUUUUAUUCAGUUUUUGAACAUACAACUAUUUAGAGGGGGUUUCUUUUGAUGUGAAGCUGAGCAAAAAAUACUCACCCUUGCUGCUGUGAUAUUUUUGUUUCCUUAGGUUUUGGUGGAUCUCUUUCGGCAUGAUUUGCGAUUGUGGAAAGCAUAUAGCAUUACUCUACAGGUUAGCAGCCAAUGUCUCUCUCUGUUUUUUUUUUUUUUUUGUUAUUGGAUUUUGAACUUUUUUGAGUGUCACCAACAUGCUUGCAAACAUUUUUGCAGUCACAUGAUGUAUUCAGAGAAUAUCUUGAUCUUCUUAAUAUGUUGGAGGAGCAGCUUUCGUCCGUAUCUGGUCUUACAUUGCAAAAUGGACCAUUGUCAUGAAUGCUGAAUGAGACUGUUUGAAAAAACCCAUUGAAUGUGGCAUUUAGCCUUGUGCUAAUUUAACACAUACAGUUAGAUGAGAACAGCGCGGGAAAUCUGAUGUAAAUAGAAUUAUUCAGGGGUUUUCCCUUUGAACAACACCUAGAGGCUAUGGCAGCUUUUUGUGCAGUGAUCUGCUGAGCACCAUAUUGUUGUAUCAUUAGUUUGUUGAAGCAAAGUUGAGUGUGCAUUCGUCGCCUUACUGUAAGUAUGUGCUGCACUCUUAACAUUGUAAAGCAUAUACCAAUUAUGAGCAAUGAGUUUUUUUUCCUUUUUAUCGUGUUGAAUCUGUUUGAAGCUUAUUACGUGUAGAUAGCUCUGAUGUCGAUACAGGAGAUAUCAUUAAAACUGUCACUAUCUGGUUAUUUUAAUUGCACUUUGACAUGCCAUACUGAUACAUGUGUUGGCCAAUUUAACCUGCAGGAGGAAUUCAUACAUUGGAUGGGGUAUUCAUACAAUGAUACGCUCCCUUGUCCUUUGGCAGGUUAGUAAACUGUAACCUGGAGGGAAGCCAUCAUUUGAAGUAUUUCUAUAGUGAUAGGAAAUGUAUUUUUCUUAUACAAUUACAAUAGGUACAUAGGCAGCGAUGUAUCUUUACUUUUUGGCAGCAUCCUGUACGUUUAUCUACAGCGCGUGCACAUUUAGCUUCAUUGCAAGCCCGUCCAAGUAGACUUAAAUGAGUACUCUAUAAAAAUCUAAAGAAUGCUCCAGUGUGUAGCAAACUGGAAAUGUUAGGUCGUGUCAAGGUAUACAUUCACGUUGCCUAUCACUAUCAUAUUUACUGUUGUCACAAUAUAUAGUUCACUGUUCACUGAUGCGUCAUGGUCCAGGAUCAUCCUGUCCUGCGUUGUAUGAAUAGUCGCCAACAUGGGCAGCACACACUGAUGUGGCCAUGUGGGGCCGCUGAUACCGGGAAGGGUGAAUUCGGGUUGUGCACGUCGCCCUGAAGCCUGAACAACUACCCUUUACGAGUAGUUUGGUGGCUCUCUCCUGUCACGAUGGCCACGCCGUCAGGGCUCCGAGUGAUCGCCGCGUUGGCUGCGCGCAAUUUGCCUGGCUCGCAGACCUUGCAGCUGGGCUUUAGCCAGUUGCCGCUUUCCUGCCCUGGACUCGUGAACGGCAUCUGUUUUGGGUAUGUUUCCUGAGACUACCAGUAACGGGUAGUAGUAAUUCCCAUGGAAUAGGCAGACUGAUGACAACAUAUACUACGGACCGAUCUGCUGUAAAGUGGUGGUGCUGGCAGGGAGCGUCAGGCCACAGCGAAGACGCAAUUUUUUUGAAAAAAGCACAGCGAAGACGCAAGAACGCAACUGGCCGUUCCCAUUCUUGCUAGCAGGCGUUUUGUCCAUGACGUGUGAGCCUAUUCCAGCCGUCGAUUGGAGCAUCUUUCGUCCCGGCCACACGCCCAUCCAAGCCGUCGCUAUCCUCCCCUAUGGACUGGCACGGUCGAUGGAGCCGUCAAAACUUGGACGAACCGCAGCUAGUGGUGGGCGCCUGAAGGCUGAGGCGAGGAGAGGGAGAGGCCGAGAGCCCAGACCUGAGGAGGGACCGGUUGGGAGGGGGAUGCGUGCGUCAGUGCGUGUGACAGGUGAUCGCAACGCCACCGCGGAGCCGAAAGCACAGACCCCCGGCCAAGCCGCCGCCCAAUCCGCGACGCGACGCCCCCACGUCUGGCUAUUCCUGGACAACGAGAUGCACGACGCGACGCGGCCGGUAGCCCGAACUGGAACGGCGACCGUGGCCCGCCUUCACGUGCCGCCACAUGCGCCCCCCCGCCCCCCCAACGUUCCCCACGCCACGCCACUGCCACCUGGGCACGCUGGAUCAGCCGGUCCCGAGCAUCCGGAGGCUGCUGCCCGCAGGUCGCAUGUGGUGGUGCGGUGCCCGGUCGCGGCAACGCCCCCGUGGCUGGUGCCUGCUAUAGAUGGCCAAAUGACACUAACCCAGCCCUAGUCCGAUUUGGCCCGACCUGAUAAGACCUGGUACUAUUGGGCACGAUGGCUUAGCUAGGGUCGGGCCGGGUUGGCAUUGCGUGUCAAGCUGGCCCAGGCCUGGCCUUAAGACCUUUUUAUCGUGUCGCGCCGACACGAUGGCCCGUUUGGCACUACCGUGCUAGUGCUUGGCCAGACACUACAAGCAUGAGGAAAUCCAAGUGGAAAUCGCAUCAAGAUGCAAAAAAUCGAAAGAUUCAUCACAGGAAUCACCAAAGCCCAUGAAUCCAUCACACGAAUCCAUCAAAAAUAAAUCCCCGUCGUUCGUCAAUGGAGUAGCGGGCGUGACUACCGGCGGUGGCCCACGAUGGCGACGAGUGAUGUGGCUCCCGACCAUGCCUCCCGGCCACGGGGCACACUCCCGUGGAUGGAGCGGCCAGCGCACGCCCCCGCGGCAGCGGCUGGUGGCGCACCUCCCGGCUGCGGGCGAGGCAACCGGCGGUGGCCAUGGCCACGUCCCCUGCAGCAGUGGCGGGUGGCGCCCCUCCCGACCGCCGACGCGGCUCCCAACGGGAGAUAGGGGGUGGUGGCAUGAGCAGGGGAGGCAGGAGGGAGUGGCGGCUACUUCGUGGGGAAGGGAGAGAGGAUAAGAUAAUGUUAAGAUUUCUACAUUUACACGAGUCAGUGGGAUUGCCGGGCCUGAGCUGGCGCUACGUGCCGGGAUGGCGGCUCAGGCAUUGCCCGAUGUAUUCAACUCAAGCUGGGCCAUGUUAGUACCAGGCUUUUUAGGGCGCCCUCAGGCCGCCCAAUGGGCCUGGCCCAUCGGUCCAUCUGUACUGACUGCUCUCCACAGCUCUUGUGCUCUCCGUGCGAACGAGCCCGCAUGUCCGUGACCUCGUGCGCCGCGGCGCCGUUGGUUCGGUCUGGCUUGCGGCUCGGUGAAGGCAACAGGGCCACACGCGGAAGCUGCCGCGGGGGGCAGGCAGGCAGGCAGGCGCCGCGCGGGGGGCGCCACACGGUUGGUCCGGGUGGCGCCCGAGAGAGGCAUGGCAGGCAGGAUAGCCCGGUCUCUAGGAACGGCCGUUGGGGGAGGAGUGAUUUUGCUUGGGAGAUGCAACUUUCCUUUGUCGCGGUGCUGUGCGUGCGGGAGCCACGGCGAGAAAGCAACGCCACGACCCCCCCGGGGGGGGGGGGGGGGGGGGGGGGGGGGGGGGGGCGGCGCCGGCGGCAACGGCUGCGUGGCGAUCGCCUUCUGAUUUUUAUCCUUUUGGACGGCGGAUGCAGCAAUCAGGGCUGGGGUCCUUGAUGUACGUGCCAUAAAUCCUUGUACCGAGUGAUGAGGACCGGUGAACAUACACGGAAUGAUUGGGGGGUGUAGUGUAGGAGGAGUACGCGUCGAUGAUCCGCGACAUCGAAAAAAAAAAAGGCGUACAACUGGAGUCUACUGCUGCAUGGUUUGUAGAGUUUAGGAUUAUACUCCAUGGCUCUUGCGAGACCAAAACUAGAUCGAGGAGAAGGACCGCUUUGCAGGGGGGAAAAUGCUCUUUUGUGCUCUCUCUCUUCUGAAAUAUAAGGAGUAGGUCAUUCUGAUUUUUCUAGAGAUAUAGAUUUUAAUAUGCAUCUAAAUAUGGAGUCAUAUUUAGAUACGUACAUAAUAAUUUAGAUACAUGGUAAAGUCUAUAUAUCAAGAAAAGUCACAUUUUAAAAGAUAAAGUAGUAGUUCCUUUCCGAGAGGAUCAUUCUGAUCUUCUAGCACAUCUUGUCCUGUUCCACUACGAUAUCCUGGAAAAAUUUACGAACCGAUAUAAACAAACAGGCAAGUGCGAAUCAGAAAGGCAUCUCUUCUUAUCCGGUCUGAUAAGGACCAUGUCACUGGUGACUCAUGCUGUCAUGCAGAUGCAUGCAAGCUCCACUGAAACUUGUUAAUUUCGUCAUCCAUUUCCUUUAAUAAGGACAGACUUUCAUUCAAUGACAUAUACCCUGGCGGCACGGAAUGUACGAACAACUAGCAGUAGGAUUAGAACGCGUCUUAUUAUCGUCAUUAGUGCAAAAUAAAGUGAUUCUUUUUUUGCCCUUUUUCGCACAGACCGAAACCGAAGUGUAAGCGAUAGCUAGUGAGCCUGCUCCAAACAAUCGUGAGGAAUAUAUUCCCUGUCGCUAAGCUUGGUUUCCAUGGCACCGGUCACUCUACAAACUGAGAGGUACCUAUGGUUGCGAUUCCCUCUUUGGAGCAUCUUGGCGACGCUUGUCAGCUCCUUUUGCAUUAUUGGGAAGACUUUGGUUUGAUCUUUCACUGUUUUUCUUGUAGGAAUAUGUCUUUUCAUAUGGAAUAUGGCGAGCAUAUGGUAUAUCAAGCGCUGACCUAUAGUGACUUGUGGUCGGUCAUAUAAUUUUCAAAAAUAUUUUAGGUGACAUAUGUCUCCAAACUUAAUUCUUCAAUGUAAUGUUCGCACGCGAAGGUUGAGAAUAACACCAACUCUAAUUAUAUUACCCGCCGUUCAGGUAUUAGCUUAAAAAGUCAAAUGAAAAAUAAAUGAAAAGUUGACUGUUUUUUUGAACCAACGGAUGCAAGUAGUCCGGCUGAACUUUCCGUUUCAAAGUCCAUUUUAUUUUCCCCGAGUCAUAUACUUUAGCUGGAAACCAGGAUUAGAUAGGCUGAGUCAUGUAGCUAACGACAAGAGUUAGGUUCUCACUUCUCACUAAUGACACAACGUAACGUUGUAUGUUCACAAUCCGUUUGCUUUCCAAGUAGUCAUAUAUUUUGGCUAGAAACCAGAAUUAGAUAGGCUGAGUCAUAUGGCUAACGACGACUUUCACUAAUAACACAUCGUUGCAUAUUUAGAGCCUAAUCAUUUCCCUGUCAUACGUUUUAGCUGGAAAUUAAGAUUAAGAUAGACUGAGUCACAAGUUAACGACUACAGUUAGACUCACUAACACCAACAACACAUCGCUAUUCGAUGACUCGUUCCAUACGUGUGUGUGCGUGCGAUACUACCCAGCCGCCCGGGCAACGACGAGGCCCCGUCGCCAGGCUGUGCCGUGAAUGCGAAACCACCGCGGCCUGCCACCGCGCAUCGCGAGAUAAAUCGAGAAGAGAGAAGCCGCCCCCGGCCCUCCCGCCCGCAGCCGCGUGUCCUCCCUUGCCACUGCCAGCCUCACCCCCACCUCUCGACCCCACCCGACCCGGCGCGGCCCAGCCGCACACCCGCACGCGCACGGCGCCGCACACCCCCGCCCGCCCGCCUCCGCCUCCCUCUCCUCCCUCCCUCCGCGCCCAGCCGCACCACCACCCCCACGAACCAAACCGGCGCCGACGAGCCGCGGCACCCAAUGGCGGCGGCCUUCCUCGCCCUGGCGUCCGCGUGACAUGAUCCCUAGCCCCCGUGGGUUGGGAAUAUCCGCGCGCGCCCGAAUCGCACACCACCCCCUCCAGCCAGCCCACCCCAAUCCUCGCCUCCCCACCGCAAAUCCUUCCUCCGUCUCUCUCCUUCUCCACCACCGCCUCCAGGCGCCCGGCGGCCGCAGUUGGUUGCUCGAGCUCCCGUAGCCCCGGAUCGCUGGACAGGUGUUGUACCCCCGCGCUCUUCACUCUCUUCGUGGUUUCUCUGGAUUGUUUUUUCUGUUUGAUUGUUUUGCUUUGCUUUGCUUGCGCGUUUGCUCGUCUUACCCGUCCCUUUACUUCGGAGGAAAAUAAGGAGGCCAGGAGGGGUUGUUUUGGUACGGUGGUGGUGGUUUGAGAUUUUGCGGGAGGGGCGAGAGAUUCGCGGGCGAAUCGUGACGCCUUCUCGAAGCAUGCAGUUUCGCAGCUCCGCCCGAGGGGCUCAAGCGAAAUUGCUGGAGCUCUUUCGAUGAUUUUGGAACCUAACCUCAGGCCUUUGAUUUUCAGCAUGCGUCAGGCUUGUGUUUUCCUAUGAAAGGUUCAGCAUGCGUCGACUUUGUUUCUUUUGUAUCUGAAAUAGGAAAUUAGGUCGUGAGUGAAGGUUCACCCUCUGUGGAUCGGAGGUGCGGGCUUUCCCUUUUCAACAGCAGAUGACUUCUGCAUUUUUAGAGUCCUCCAUCGGUUGCCCUUUUUUUUUGGAAAAACGUUGGAGAACUGGGUCUCUCGUAGUUGUAGGAUUAUCGAAGGUACUAACGGAUUUGGAUGGACAUGCCAAAUCUGGGAAUUGCGCAAUUUGGUAUUGAAGUUUCAUGUAGAUCAGUUAUUCAGUUAUCUGUGAUGGGAUAUGAGUCCUUUUUUGCUGCCUUCCUUUAAUGCCUUCAUAAUUGUGUUCUUAUCUCUCCUUUUUUUCAACAGGAAGGGGCUCAUUGGUGCUGUGAAUAGAACUUGCUGGAUUUGAGUCGUGUCAUAUACUCAGACUCACUGCUGAUCCAGUGAUCCUAACCCCACCAGCUUGAUCAAAGUCUCACACUGAGUAUGGCACCCCCUGCUGCUGCAGCAGGCGGCUCUGAGGCUGAGGGUGCACCACGCAUGGCCAAGUUCCUCUGCAGCUUUGGAGGCAGUAUCCUUCCCCGUCCUGUCGAUGGCUGUCUUCGAUAUGUUGGCGGUGAUACUAGGAUCGUCAUGUUGCCACGUGAUAUAUCAUAUGCUGACCUAGCAGCACGGAUGAGAGAGCUCUACAAGGACGCUGAUAUCAUCAAAUAUCAGCAACCUGAUGAGGAUCUAGACGCGCUGGUCUCAGUUGUGAACGAUGAUGAUGUGGUGAACAUGAUGGAGGAGUAUGACAAAGUCAUUGCCUCAGGGGAGGUUUUCACCCGGCUCAGGAUCUUCUUAUUUUCUCAGAAUUUGGAUGAUGAUGCUGCAUCAGCGGUUGUGCAUUACAAUGUAGAUGAGCGGGAAACUGAGAGAAGAUAUGUUGACGCACUCAAUAACCUUGGUGAUGUUAACACACCUUCGUCUCCUGUAUCAGUGGAGCAGCUUUUUGGAAUUGUAGGCAAUGACUCUGGAAUUCCUGAUUUUGCUGGCUUGAGGCAUUUGAAUGUUCCGCGUCCAUCACAGAGUCAGAGGUACGGAGAGAUGGAUUCUCCUUGGAGCCCUGCGUAUGUCUCACCAGGCCAGUACGCAGUGCAUGAUCCUAGGGAUUUUCCCGUUUCACCAUCAUCUGCAAGGUUUCAAGUCGGAGCGGAGGAUUUUGAUGAGAGGACUCCUGAUGACUUUGUAAGGCAGUCACCAAAAUAUCGUCAUUAUGAGGCUCAGUCACCACCGCACAUGGACAAUUUAGUAUGGCUUCCACCUGGUGCUGUAAUUCAGCAAAAUGCAGGAUUUCCUGGUAAUUUAAGUCGCUCCAACAACUUUUUGGAUGGAAACAGUGUAGGUGAACAUGGCCGUUUGCCAUUCCAGCAGGGUCAAGGUUCAAUGACUGAUCCUCGCUAUAUGGAUCCUCGUUGGACUCGCCCUGCCCAACAACAUUUUGACCAAGCAAGCAUGACUAAUGAAUACCCUGGUCACCCUUCUAAUUCUUGUUCAAAUUGCUACCGCUCUGGUGAGCAUUAUAUGGGAGGUCAAGAUAUUAGAAUGGAAAAUGGUGUCUAUGUCAAAGAGCAAAAUGGUGGUCAUCCUCCCAUGUUUUAUAACGAGUCACAUUUGCACGAUAGAGUUUGGCAUGCGCAUACUAGCCAAAGUCAUCAAAGGUAUGAGGAUCCAAGGCUGCAUCUUCCUGGCAAUGGUAGAGUGAUUGAGCCAUACAUUGUAGAUACCAACCCUGUCAAUUCUGUAUUUGCACCAAACAAAGUAUAUGAAAUGCAUUCAGCAACUCUUGGUCGUUCUAGCCAUGAAAGUCCCCACUACUUCCAUGGUAGUUGUGAGCUCAUAAAUGACACAUAUCACAACCAACAAGUUGGAGGCAGUGGAUCAUAUGUGCAGCCAGCAGGGUUUGAAGAAUCCCCUGGUCAGCAUUACAACCACUCUUCGACAUAUGGUGCAGAUUCCUUUUACCAAAUGCAGCAGAAUUUGCCACCCAUUCAAUCUCUCAGGAGGAGAGCGAACAGUCCUGUCCACGCUGGCUCGCCAUAUGAUUCUCCACACCUGCCAAUGCCAAAUGGGAGCAUUCCAAUGCCAAAUGGGAGCAUUAACACCAACUUUGUUAGAAAUACAGGUGAUGUUAGUCCAAGGAUACCAGGUCUACCUGCAUAUGAGCGAAUGCCAAACCCAUGGGCUCCUCCUAAUGGCAGCAUACCAUAUAGAGUUGUUGGGCAUGAUGUUCCUGCUGCCAUGGAAAGCACUAGUGCUCUUGGUCCUAGGUCUAAUCCAAUUACUGCUCAAUAUGUUCAGCCUUUCAUUGCCCCCGAGUCAGUCCAGCAUCAACACGGAGCCCCAUCAAGGGAGGUUAACCCUGAAAGAGCGUAUGCUGACCACAUACCACCACCAUAUGUUGAUGGCAGAGUAGCUGUUUCUGCAUUGCCCCUCACUGAUCAAUUAUCGAGGUUGGAUACUAACACAAUGAAGAAACCUGAAGGUCCAGAGUAUGAUAACUCUACUCGAAAUGUGAAUGAAGGAACUCCUUUGCAUGCUGUGGAUGAAACAAAUACCCUACCCCGCCAUGUUGGAGCUGUACAUGAAGUUGAUCCUAAGCAGAAACCAACCGAACAUGAAAUCAGAACAAAGCAACUUGAAGCUGGGGUGACAGCACUGCAGGAAUGUGGGGACAUUUCAGAGGAUAGGUUGAAUUUUGUUCCUGAGUUGAUUGCCUCUCUUAAAAAGGCUGCACUGGAAGAUGCGACUGAGACACAGAUGGCCCAAUCAGAUGCUAAUGCUGCUGUUUCACCUGUUCCUGAUGAUGACGAUAAUGGAAAGAAGUUGGAUGUGGCAACUGCUGGUGUAAGUAGUGCUUCAAAGUUGUGCGCAUUAAUUACUAAACUAUCUAUAACUCUCCACUGAAAUUAUUUUGUCCUGCAGAAUACAGACGCAAUUCAGGACUCUGAUUUGCAUGGAAGCAGUGAUCAGCAGAAGAGCUCCAAGAUUGAGUCUACAACUGCUGAAGCUGAAGCUUUGUCUAAAGGACUACAGGUGUGUUUGCUGAUCUCUCUGUGUGUAGCACUGUUUGAAUUUUACCUUAUAUUCCAUUUAUAAUUUUACCUUAUAUUCCAUUUAUAAUUUUACCUUAUAUUCCAUUUAUAAUUUUACCUUAUAUUCCAUUUAUACUGUGUAUGGAUCAUGCAGACUAUAAACAAUGAUGAUUUGGAGGAAAUUAGAGAGCUGGGUUCAGGUACUUAUGGGGCGGUCUAUCAUGGUAAAUGGAGGGGAUGUGAUGUUGCCAUUAAAAGAAUAAAAGCAAGUUGCUUUGCUGGAAGACCAUCUGAGAGAGAGCGUUUGGUAUGUUUAAUUUUCUUGCUAGUUCCUUCUACUCUAGAAACUUCAGGAUGUUUGCACUCACCUUGUACAGUACGAAUAGCUUCCUCACAGUCCUUUGUAGUAUUUUCUGAACAAUAUUUUGGUCUAUCCAGCUGCACUAAGGAUAAAGUGAAUUUGUACGUAUUCUUCUGUGCAAAAUGAUUCUAGUUGAGCUUUAUCUGAUUUUGCAGAUUGCGGAUUUCUGGAAAGAAGCUCUGAUCCUAAGCUCAGUUCAUCAUCCAAAUGUGGUUUCAUUUUAUGGUGUAGUUCGUGAUGGUCCGGAUGGAAGCUUAGCAACAGUUACUGAGUUUAUGGUCAAUGGUUCUCUCAAACAGUUCCUGAGGAAAAAAGACAGGUAUUGUUGUUUAAUAUAAGAAUAGUUUGUUCAUUUAUUUCUCCUGUAUCAAACUCUAAAAUACAGCAAUUGUGCAGGACAAUUGAUCGCCGGAAGAGAGUUAUAUUAGCCAUGGAUGCUGCAUUUGGCAUGGAGUAUUUGCAUGGGAAGAAUAUAGUCCAUUUUGACCUGAAGUGUGAGAAUCUGCUCGUGAACAUGAGGGAUCCACAGCGUCCGAUCUGCAAGGUUUAAUCCCAAGCCUUGCCCCUUGCUAUCUUAUCUUUUUGGGAAAACUCAUGUUGCCAUGGUGGAUAUUGUCUCCUGACUUUUCCCCAACUCGGUACUUUCUGAUCAGAUUGGUGAUCUCGGACUAUCAAAGGUUAAACAACAUACUUUGGUAUCUGGUGGUGUUAGAGGAACCUUACCAUGGAUGGCACCAGAGCUUCUGAGUGGGAAAAGUAAUAUGGUGUCAGAGAAGGUAAAACUGCUUUUUCUUGUAAGCAUAUUUGAUAGAGCAUACUCGUAGUAAACAAUAUUCCACUUUUUUGUGUUUUGACGAAAAACUAUUUUUAUGCAUCUUGUAGAUUGAUGUCUAUUCAUUUGGUAUUGUCAUGUGGGAGCUGCUUACUGGGGAAGAGCCCUACUCUGACAUGCGUGCUGCUGAAAUUAUUGGUAAUGUCCAAAAUUCCCUAUAAUAACUUAGAAUGCUACGCCUUGAUCUCAUAUGGCUCAUUCCACCAUGUCACUGAAGUGAUUUAAUUGCCAUGCCAUUUUCUAGGGGGUAUUGUGAACGAUUCGUUACGCCCUCAAAUCCCCGCAUGGUGUGAUCCUGAGUGGAAGGCGUUGAUGGAAAGCUGUUGGUCCAGUGAUCCAACUGAGAGACCAUCAUUCACUGAUAUAUCUCAACGGUUGAGGAAAAUGGCUGCCGCAAUGAAUGUGAAGUAAAGGCUCAGAAGCUCUAAAGGGAUCAUGUGAGUUUUCCCGCAUCCAAUAUAUGAUUACAAGAGGAAGGCAAAGUUCAAACUGGAUUAUAUGGAGUAAAUAUUUUUCAAAUGUCUUGGCAGCAUCUCAAUUUACCCUACUCUAAGUGAUAGUUUUAUUAAGUGCUUCAUGGAAGAAAAGUUUUUGUCAUGGAGAUUCCAAAGCAUGCUUAAUGUGAGUCAGCAGUUUCUUGGGUUUCUGUAUUCCUUGUAUAAUGAUUAGUAGAAACUGACAUUUCCCUUUCCUAUUUCAGGAACUUUUUAUCCUGGAGUAACCAGCUUUCAUUUUGCCUUCUGCUCUAAACAGUUUGCUAUAUAGGGUAUCAUCUUGAUGGGAACUGUUGGACUGUAAUGUAAAUAAGUUUUGACUCGCUUCAUCCGGCUGGCACAUGUUAGAUGUGCACAGUAAAAUAGGCACGGUUCAGAGCUGGACACAGCUAUCCUUUUUUCCCUACAGAUUGUGUCCUUGGAGAGAUGGAACGAACUCGAAUAGAUAGCCUUGUUCAGAUUGUACAUAGUUUACGAAUAAGAGUUCUAUAUUGUUUUUCCUGUAUAUAUCAUCUUUUCCAAUUUGAAAUCGCAUGGUUAUUUAGAUCGCCCGGAUGUCGCAUUUCACCUGUUAUUGUUUGAAAGUUUUGUUGUGGAUGGAAAAGUACUUGGCCCAAUCCCCAAUUAAUGCAAGGGAAAAUGAGCUAAUUUUCAUGUCAAUCCUAAUUGAUCAGGUCACAUUCUUUCUAUUUGGUCUUGUAUCCACGAUGUUGCUUGCAUGCCACUUCUGUGCUGGUGAGUGAUUAUCUCCAUUGUUCUGUUUGCUGCAAUUUAGGAGGCAACUUGACUGUGAUUAAGAGCUGUCAUGCAAAUAACGAGAUGCCCUUCUUGGGAUAGACAUAUCUCCCAUAUUUUCCCCUUGUGCUCAUGGUCCCAGACAUAAUGGAGGAGGAUGUUUAGGUAGCUCUACUCCAUGAAUGUCUAGGUCUCUAGGCAGUGUGAUGCCUGUCUCUUCGAACAUUCUGAGAUUCUCAUUUGCUAGUCUUCACGUACCUGCCCAGUUUUUUGUUCUCCUCUUUUCUGUAGGGCACCUGAUUACAGUUUGAUUGAAAAGGAUAAUUUCACCGCCUUGACUAUAUAAUUAUAUCCAGGCCAAAGCUAUAGCUUAACCUAUUAUCAGUAGGUAACCUGUUUUGAUCUACAAUAUUGUUCAAGAGUUCCUUGCACCUCUCUUCUUCCCAGUCUUACUUUGAGCUUUACAUGACCUUGCAGGCACACGUUGACAUCAAUUUGGAACUCACUGUUCCUCAUGAUCUUUAUCAACUACAUAUAAUAUACCAGCAUCUGGGCUAUUUUAGGCCAAGCAUGGUUCAUAUGGGGCACUUUAGGGUAGGCGUGUUUUUCUCCUGUCAGUUCAUCAACACUUCACUGAUUAGCCUAGCCUUGCAGAGGACGACCUGUCUAACAAAGAACAAGAUAAACUCCAACUUGCUCACCAAACCGCACAAUUAGCUACUACUAACACUAAACUAUUGCAGCGCCUAAUUAAGUUGCACUCAAAGUCAAACACAUUAACAAAUGACGCGGGCCGCCACUCGCCUUCCUCCUUCGUUCUCUUCUCCGUGUUGCGUUGCGCUGAUGAAUCAAUAUGAACAACUCAUGGACGGAUUGAUGAACUGAGUGCUUUGUUCCUCGAGGUAUUCCUGCCAUGGUUUGUGCGCUUAGGUGACAAGUCAAAAGCUCCACCGGACAGAAGAGGGGAUUGUGUCAUUGUGUGGCGAAUCAUUGAGAGACGGCACACAGUAGGUGCGACACGGCUUGGCAUCUUCUUCGGAGUUCAGGGAACACACCAGCUAGGCUAGUUAGGGUUCGUGCAGGAGUGUAUAUAUAAAUGGAUAACUGAUUGGCCAUUUGAUUGAUUGAAAUUCAGUGAUUAUUUGGUUCUUGUUCGUGUCCAUUUGAUCGUUGCGGUGAUGUUUCGCACGCACGCCUGCGUUGACAGGUAUAAAGCAAAGUGAUCUCAUGCUUGCAAAUAAAAUUAAAAUGUGAAGGAUGGAUCAGCUUAGGUGUGGCCGUGUGGGAGCCCUCUGGAUGCUGGAUAUGAAACUUGAUAGGAAUGACAGCUCCAGAGGUGGCCAAGCUUGCUUACAAAUCGCAACACGGUUCUCCGAUCUCGUAAUCAUGCAUGACUUCACGGAUCAUGAGUCAUGGCUAGGGUUUUAGAUACCGGAACCGGACUAGUUCCGGGAGUUUGGUAAAGUUGUAGCUCCUAGCCAGUUUCCAGCAGGCAUUGGCAAAAUAGCAAAAUAUUCAUCUUCAUUACCACUCUCUUAUUUGUCUACAUAAUGCUGAUAUUUGCACUUCAGUUUAAACUGUUCAAAAACAUGCUAUGCUACUGUGUUAUCUACUCCAAGAUUUCUGGUUCUCCGAUCCGAUGUAACUCACAAUGUUUAGUAUGUACGUUACAAAUCCACAACUGGGAUUUGAAAAUUCUGAUCCUGCAGAUUUCCUCACUUCCCCUUGUCUGCUCCCGGUUCAGACUCGAGAUUCAGAAAACCCGGAAUUGAAUAGUGAGGCAUAUGUUGGAUCUGCUCCCUUGGUCGCAUCUGAAAAGACAGAAUUCGACACGGCGGCAAGCUAGAGAGCCCCAGGCUUUUCUCCUCCGUGCCAUGUUAAUGCAACCAGAGGAAUCUCCAGCCCCAACUGAGAUUUCUCCGGCCGGAGCACGGCGCCUCCGUCGCGCGCGACACAUGCCACCAACCAACCACCCCUUUCUAGGGUGGCAGCGGCGGCCACGCCUCGCCAUCGAUCGCCUGAUCUCUCCUGUCCUUUGCCACUCGCGUCGUCACAGGGCGGGUUCAUCAGGCCUGCUGCCUGCAAAGCCGGCCCUGACGUCAAGCGGCUUACACGGUUACACCACGCACGCAGGCGCAGCUGCUGACACGAAACCGGGCAAGAAUUGCAGCGGCAAUUCAGGGGUGGAACGCGAGAUAACGCGCUGUUCUAGCAUGCAGGACCGAUCGCGAUCGAGAUUGGUAUGAUGGUGAGGUAACGGUGUCGCAGUGCCCCCGGCUCCUUUCGAUUCGUUCUCGCCGUGCGUGCUAGCAACCGGCCGGUCAAAUCAAAAAGAUGAGCUUCAGGCUGAAGCAAUUAGCGUCACUAACUAACUCUUGCUUUUCCAGCGCUAAGAAAUAUCCUGCCGGUUAAAUCCGGCACUGUGCGCGGACAGUGACAUGGGGAAGCUAAGCUAGCUCUAGCUUUAUUAUCUCGCCAUGACCAUUUGCCAGCGAUAUCACAUGAAUGGAAGAACCCUAACGGCAGGUAGGGUUCCCGGCUUGACGCCCGGUACGUCCAGUCGCGCGCCCUGCUGUUUGUCGGGGCGGAAAUUUUGAGGAGAUCGGCUGGGGAAACGGAUUGACAGGUGAUGGAUGGCAAAGGCGUCAGGCCUUUGUUGAUCUGAUCGGAUGAGUGGAUUUUGGUCGCCUGCAUGCCUGGCCUGCCUGACGUUCAACGCAGACGGCACGGAACAAAACUUGGCCGAAGGCUGUCCGAUCAAGGGCUAGCAUACGUGUAGCCUUUUUAUCAUGACCCUCCAUUUUUAUGUUUGUGUGACGCGGUUGCAGGGGCUAUCUUGGCCGUUCAUCCGCCUCCUGACCGCAAGUGACCACAUGAACUAGGACUAGUUCGUGAAUGUUGUGAUGUGCUAGUGCCGUCGGAAGAACGCUCCGUUAGAUUUACGGAAUUCAUAACUUUAGUUGCGUCACCGGAUCGGAUAGGAGUAGAAAAUUAUGUGUCAAUGUGGCAAAAAAAAAAAAAGAAUUAGGCCGCCCCUUUGAUUGAUUUUACCUACCUUAUGAUUAAGUUAUUAUAGAGAAGAGCAGCAUGCAUGGUUCAUGUACUUUGCUUUGGGGUACAGCCUCUUAGGUCAAGUACUAUGCAUAUGCAUUCAAAUGCUAGAAUCCAAUGAGGCUCACCAAAGGGAUAUCCAGUUAUUCCCACUGCCUUUUGCAACCUUUUUCCCUUGUGCUCAUCUCCUUUCCAUUUCCCCCUCCAAGAUUUAAGACCACUUUAACUCGUUUCAUGUUGCUGAUGCAUGCCAGGCAAGGAGUGCAAGGGGACAUGGGAAUAUGACCCUGCAGGAAAUGACAAUCAGGAAAAUACCAAAUGACUCCUCAAUCCUUUCUCCUUGCUACCCUAAGGGGUGUGCAUAUUUAAUUUAAGCCACCCUGCUUUGGGUUAAUUAAGUCUAUCCUGUGGACUUGAGGAGGAUUAACUUGGAUUUGCCUUUUUGAAAAAGGUGAUGGCUCACUUGCUUCACGUACUCUAUCGUGCCUUGCUCCUCGGUCACUGGCAGUGGGGCCAGUGACCUCUGAUUGGAUGGUGUGUGCCCCACUGUCGGCGGGUAAUCACCACUUCUUUGUUACUGGUUGGUUGGUUAACCCGGCAAAUUAUAAUUAAGGUCAAUGGAUUAUUGGAGUUUUGGCGCCAAUGUGGUUAUCCUCAAUGUAAAGUGCCUUUGCCAUUAAUUCCCCAACUUAACAUCUUCCUGUUUGGAGCUAUCUCCUGGUGCAUAAAUUAGGAGGGGACACAUUGGCCACUUGUCUGCGUGGCAGUGAGUGACCAGAGCUGCUAAUUCAAACACAGGUAGCUAGAGGGAUGGAGGACUAGUCAGCUGCUUAUGCCUAGCUUGGCAUUGUAAAUUAGUGUAGUUAAUCCCUGGUGUUCCUCAUAUUCCAGUCACUUGGAUGGUUGUUGGUGAUGGUUUUGUGUGUAUCACUGUCCAAUGAUCAUAGGUAGUUAGAGUUGUUGGAUAUCACUGUAAAUCUUGGAUGGUUACUUGCAGCCAACCUUGGAACUGGUGAGAAGGCGUUGAAAUUGUUAAUUAUUUAGUUUUUAAUACAUAGCUAGUAGUAUGCUGGAAUUCCAAAUAGACAAAUACGUGUAGCAUUUAAUAGCUGAACAAAAUUUCCGAGGCAGUUAGGUGGUACAAGAAGAAAACAAGCAGGUGGAGGCAUGGAAGGACUGGGAGGAGAUGGUCAAAACAAAAACAAAAGAGUACAUGCAUGCAAGAACCAAACAAUAAUCUGUAGCUGAAAACUGAAGAUGAUGGCAGUAUAUACUACAUAUACAUCUGGUGAUCGAUGAUGGCCAUGCCUUCGGUUACAGUUACACACACAGAUAUAGCAUCAGGUGACCCAGUCGUCCACGUUUCCUUUGGUCUUUCAGUUACGUUGGAUGCCACUUUCAACACGUGACUCUCUUCCUUUGAAUUUGUAGGCUCACCGUUUCUUGUUUACUGUUUCCUCGAUCUCUGCUUUUUUCCAUGGUACAUUCUCUGAACCUUUACUUCGCUUCAAUCUGUGUGAAUGUCUGAAGCGUAGAACAUACGGGUCGGGCUGAUGUUUCCUUACGAUCCACACGCGCUCAGUGACGCGAACAAUCGAGAUGUACAUCAAGCAGGCUUCUACGACCAGAUCACGAUAGCUUUUUUACUGCAAAUCCUGUGUAAUAGACAGCCGUAGUGUUUCCCUGUAGCAACACGUAGACACGGUUUCAGAAUUCAGACACAGCAUGUAAGCAUAUGGAUGGACAUAGCUGGUGAUGAGCUCAUUGCAUAGCGUACGUACGUGUUUGGUACCUUUAGUACAGUGCUUAUAGUAAACCAAAAAAAAACAUCCAGUAGCUUUAGUCCGGCUACUUGACUCUGCUAUGGUCAAUGCGCUGUUUGAAACAGUAAGUGGUGAGGCAACCCAAUUUCAAACCUGGAGCCCUGAAAGUCGUUGCUGCGUGGGCAGUCCAGCCCAUACGACAUCUGUGGCCGCGCUUAGAAUAACCGAAAAGGGUGGCUUUUCCUUUUUCCCAGCCGGGACCUGCAGGGUCGUCAGGGAUGUUAGGCCUGAAAGUCUGAACUUCUGAAGGCUCAUAUGAUCCCGGCAUAGCUUGUUGGACGCGCGCACACAGUGAAAACAUGGUGUGUUCGCUGUUCAGCCGACGUUGUCAAUGGCGGAUUUGAUCUCUCGGCGAUAAACAAAUGCGGGGGGGAAAGGUAGGCGAGGCAGCGAGAGGGGGAAAGCAGUAGGCGCCGUUCAAAGAGUUCUGUCUCACGCCAAACAAGCCGAGGAUCGGCUGCGGAUGCAGGCUCUGUGUACGCCUUUGCAUUGGUUUGUACUUGACUACUCGUGCGCAUAUCUCACUCAAUUGAGGUUCAAAGGCAUAAUUUCAUCAUCAGCUUGUAAAAUACGUAGGUUACGUUUCAAGAAAGAAAGAGCUCUUUUACGUUACACAAUACUACCACUUAGUGGUAUAUAGUAUAGGGAAGAUCUAACCAUCCAUUAUUAUGGAUGAUUUAGUAAUUAUUAUACAUCGUAAAAAGUGAGGUUUCAAAUGGAAUGAUCUUGUAGACUCUAUGAUGGCGUAAAAAAGGUCUUAUAGUGAUAACAUUUGUGUGUGUUUUAUCAUGAUACCUUUAUACUACUCAGCAUACCAGAGGUGAAAUUUUUAGUAGUAUACAAUUAAUCUUGAUCACGGAUGUUUUUAUACCGGUUCUUAUCGCUCUGCUCGGCAGCAAGGUAGCACACGCUCUGGUUGUAAACAUUAGAUCCUGGCGAGUGCAUGGGAGGGAGGACCGUUAAUCCCUUUGCUUAGACCGAUCGACCAAUGAUAUGCUUUGGGGUUGGGGUGUGCUGUGGAGCCAGCCGUCUCAUCGAUCGCAGCAUCACUCCCGUGUUUUUCUCCCGGUGUCCUCCCUUCCCCCGCGGCUAUAAAGCUCGGCACCACCUUCCUGGCCUCUUCCGGACUCGCACCCCCGGCUCGGGCACUCACAUCACCAUUCACCACCUGCCUGCCUAGCUACACCUCCAUAUCCGCCUGCCUGCCCGCCCGCCUGACUCAUCAGCUCUCCUCUCUCCGAUCGAUCUCCCGUGUAAUUUCUCAGGCGAGCGAGAGCGAUUGGCGAGCAAGAAGCAGGCUUGAGAUUAAGAGUUCGAUCGAGAGGUAGCGGCCAUGGGGAGGGCGCCGUGCUGCGACAAGGCGAGCGUGAAGAAGGGGCCGUGGUCGCCGGAGGAGGACGCCAAGCUCAAGGCCUACAUCGAGGAGAACGGCACCGGCGGCAACUGGAUCGCGCUGCCGCAGAAGAUUGGUAUGCCUCUUGUGCGCCGUCUCGUCGAUCGAUCCAUUUGGUGUUUUGGUUGCUUAUUCAUACCAGCUCGCGUUAUCUCUUUGGUUGCUUCCGAUCCGUGUGCUACUGUGCCUAUCUCCAUGGACUGACUGGUCCUGUCAUGCAUGGUGCAACAUGAAUAUGGAUGCGGUAUAGCUAUUAGCUAGGUUAGCUGCCCUUUGUAUCCAUUCGAUUUAGAGGCAAACUUUUUUCAAAAGAUGGAUAUCUGCCUUUGUAUAGCGAUUGAUCCUAUGCAUGUUCCCCAUGCCCCUUCAAUUUCCCCUCUCCUCCCUUAAACCGGCCAGAUCCAAAUUAAAAUUAAGGACUUUUCGUAAUAUCAUAUGUAUGUUUUGAUUGGUUUUCCUUCAUCAUCAAGAUGUAGUUUAAUUUCCGAUUAAAAUAGUACGCGCAAUUUUGAUUAGUAAUUUUGAUGAAAGGAGAUGUGUGACGAUGUUCCAUCGUGCAUAGAUUGAUCUGUAUGUUUUUCGUGGUGCGAGAGAUCUAGCUAAAGAGAGUACGUACCAAUCAACUUGGUAAAGAGAAGAAAGCCAUUUCCCUUUCUGAACUAAGAAAUAUUCGUCCGGUGAAACAUGAUAAUUACAUGAAAUCAAAACAAGAGAGUAGCUAGAUCUCAACAUCCUUCGAUCUCGCCAGUUACUUUCCUAGAAGCUAGAAUUUGUUUUCUGUAUGCAUAGGUUACCGGUAGUACUGGUACAUAUAUUCUUCCGUGAGGUUUUGUCCCUGUACUGGUAGAGUAGCUAUAUAUAUACUGCAGGUAGUGUGUAGCAUGCCAAUCAUUUCUCUCUUGUUUCUUUUGCUUCCUGAUUGUGAAUUGGUUGCUUGCUAAUUUGGAUUAAUCGAGUUAUAUACUUAAUUAUAUGUACAUAUGAAUAUGAUUUGCAGGGCUGAAGAGAUGCGGGAAAAGCUGCAGGCUGAGAUGGCUCAACUAUCUGAGGCCAAACAUUAAGCACGGUGACUUCACAGAAGAAGAGGAGCAUAUCAUUUGCAGCCUCUACAUUAGCAUUGGAAGCAGGUAACAAUCAGCACACACUGUUCGCAAACUACAUCACAUGUCUAUACACCUCUGCAGAUAAUUUUCCUUUUUUUCCCCCUGAAUAAAUUUGAUCGGAGACCCUUAUUUUCAAAUUAAAAAAAACACUACUCCACAGAUCAUAUCGGCAGAAGCAUGGCAUACACCAUCAACUAUAAGCCUAUAACUAAACUAACUAAUCGUUACGUUCAUGCAUGUUCAGGUGGUCCAUCAUUGCAGCUCAGCUGCCCGGGCGGACGGACAACGACAUCAAGAACUACUGGAACACCAAGCUGAAGAAGAAGCUCCUCGGCAAGCGCGCGCCGUCGCGCCGCGCGAGGGCGAACCACCAGGAUCCCUACCUCGCCGCGGCGGGCGGCAACAUGUGCAGCACCAGCGGCGGCGGCGGCGUCAACAACGGCGGCAGCGCCACGGCGGCGGCCACGCCGCAAGCCCUAAGCGCGUCGGCCCUCGAGCGCAUCCAGCUCCACAUGCGCCUCCAAGGCCUCUACGGCGCGUUCGGCGGCUGCAGCAACAACGACAACAACGCCGCCGCCGCCGCGGCGCCGCAGUGGCCGAAGCUGGAGACGCUGCUGCAGGCGAACAAGCUGCUCCCGGGGUCGCUGCCGACGGACGCCGUCGCGACGACAGUCAGCGUGCAGCAUCCGCCCCAGCAGCAUCUGGUCGAACAGAGCCUCGCCGGCGUCGGCGCCGGUACGGCAGUCGUCGAAGCCGCCGAGCAACAGCUCAGCUCCGCGGCCGGUGCAAACUACAUGGCGGCGGCGGGGAGUUUCGAGCGGCCCAGCAAGCUAGGGUUUUACUCCCCGUCCGCCGAGGCCGAAGCCGCCAGUGCGGAGAUGAUGGGCGGCUACGGCGGCGCCGGCAGCUUCGGUUCCCAUCACGACGAGCUCUACGAGUUCCUGUACAGCAAGUACGGAUCGUUGGGCGGCGGCGUGGCGGCGCAGGGCGGGCACAUCCCGCCGCUGCCGGAGCUGCAUCAGUGCCCGGACGGCGCGGCCGCCGACGAGAAGUUCUCGACGUGGACCACGGCGUCCUGCGAUUACGGCGCGGCCGGCCAUCAUCAGCUCCAAGGGAACUCCAUUGGUGGUAGCCUGCAGGAUUACGUGCUAGGCGAGUAUGGUCAAUAGUGAUAGAGUUUUGGCGUAUAUUUGUCGUGUGCUAUACAUAGUACAUCCGAUCCAAUUGAUAGUUGGUAAUUUGGUACAUGUAUGUUUGGUAAUUUGAUCUUAAAAUUGCUGUUAAUAUAUAUACGUGAAUGUGAAUCAAAUGUUGAGAAUAUAUAUAUACUACUGGUUUGAUCGCCGUACACUCAUAGAGUACUUGUGAAGGAGCAGAUUUUCCGUUGUGUAAUUGAGACCAAGCUGCUUGUUCAUUCUUGACGCUUGAGAACCUCUUGGCAGUGGCCUCGGAUCCGUGUGGUGUCGGAGCUUCCCAGAGCAGCUCCAUCACACCCGGCCGGUGCGGUUGAUCGUGGUUGGGAGUACACGGAGCAAUCCCGAUCGGCGGCGGUGCUCGAAACAAAUAAAACGACGAGGCCAAAGCUAGCUCGCAUCUAUCGGAUCGGAGCGCUCGUUGCUAUACGUGACCGAUGGGUCGUUUCGGCGGCGCGCGGCUCGUUUGUUCGGCGCUGGCCGGGGAAGUUCCGGCGCACGACGCGCGGGCAUGGUGGGAUAUGCGUUGCCUGCUGGAAUGGAUGGGUGCUGGCCUGCUCCUGCUGCCCUGCUGGGGAUGUCAUGUGGGUGCGCAUCGCACGGCGCGGGUGCGCGGGUCUCGGCGUGUCUGACGGGAGGAGGCCGCGCGGUCACCGCGGGUUUGGUUCGACGCUAGAUGCCAAUCCGCUUGGACCCGCCGCACACGGCAAAGCACCGAUGUCCGAUCCUGUUGCUCUCGAUCAACUGGAAAAACUGGGAUUCGUCGUUACGUCUACGGGCCGGCCCACCCUGUUGCUCGAUCGACGAGAGAGAGAGAGAGAGCCCAAGUAUCUAAGUUUACAAAAAGCCCAUUUGAUCGCUGGGCCAGUCUCUGAAACCGGACGGACACGGCGGUGGUCGUCGUCGUUGGCUCACCGUUCGUCCGUUGCUCUCGAUUUUAUAUUUUUUUUUGAGUCGCGCUACUCUGUGCGCUCUCUCUCUCUCUCUGAUGGUCGAAAAAUCAAGUCCCAGGUGAGGUGAGGCCUCAAACCUUCUACGCCGUCACUUGUUAUCAUACUUUUAAAUUCGACAUCGCCGCCCCUGAAGUCCUGAACUGGAAUGGAAUCCAGCUACCCAGAUGGCGCGAACAACAAACUCACACUGAACAAACAUGGACGCACAUACGAACGUACCGCGUGGACCUUAUCUCCCCCGAUCAAUUCUUUUGCCAACCACAUCACCGAACAUGAGCACCACUCAUCCAAUCGCAUCCACCCGACCAAGCAGCUCCCGAACGCAAAAGGCACGUAUAAAUACGUCCCCAUCAACACGGAGUACAUCGCAGCAAGGUCAACUACACACACCACCUGAACUCAUCAAAAAGCCACCUCGCAAUGCCGCCACGCCGCCUCCCCUCCGUGGCCGCGGCCACCACCGCGGUGCUCCUCCUGGUCGCCAUCGUCCUGCAGGCCGGCGCGACCGCGGCCGACGCCGCGGCGCGCGGCAAGAGGAAGAGCCUGGAGUCCGCCUUCCUGGACCCGCACAACGCCGCGCGCCGCGCCGUGGGGCUGCGCCCGCUCAAGUGGGACGAGCGGCUGGCGGGCUACGCGCGGCGGUACGCGGCGGCGCGGAGCGGCAACUGCGCGCUGGAGCACUCGCACGGGCCCUACGGCGAGAACCUCUUCCGCGGGAGCGGCGGCGCCGGGUGGACCCCCGCGGCCGUGGUCGGCGCCUGGGUCCGGGAGCGGGCGCUCUACGACGCGCGCGCCAACGCCUGCCGCGGCGGCGGUGGACGCGGCGCGUGCGGGCACUACACGCAGAUCGUGUGGCGCGCCACCACGGCCGUCGGGUGCGCGAUCGUGCCAUGCGGCGGCGGCCGCGCCACGUUCGCCGUCUGCAGCUACAACCCGCCGGGCAACUACGUGGACGUCAGGCCCUACUGAUGAUCGUGACCGAUCCAUGGAGGAGGAGGAGUGCGCGACACGUACGUGCUGCUCCACGUUCAGUGCCAUGUCUCAAGCUCUCAACUCUGAACGGGAGGGCGCGCGUGUGCUGCAGAGUUGUUGAUCUUGAUCAUAUCAUACGGCCGGGCCGGAGAGAGGUUAUUUUGUGUCAAUUUUUUUUACGGCGAUCCCGCGGUUAAAGUGGAUCCCCUCAUUUUUACUGUUCAUCAUUCUUUUGCAUUGGUUCGGUGAUAUAUAUAAAUGGAUAAUAAAUAAAAUAAAAGACGAUUUCACAUUCGAGUGGUACUCCCUCCAUCUAUGUUUAUAAGGCAUGCUAUGGCUUGGCACAAUCUUCCAAAUAACUCUUUGACCAUUCAUUUAUCUUAUAUUAUAUUGUUUAUGGUUAUAAACUUACGAUCAUUAUAGAGUAUAUUUGAUUAUGAAUCCAACCAUAUAAAAUUUACAUUAUAAAAAUAAAAAAUAAAUAGUUAAAAUUAUUGGUCAAAGAUUGCAAUGGUUGAAUCUUGAUAUGCGUGUGAAGUGAGACACUGAUCAUUGCUUUGAAUCGACAAUCCAAUGGCAUUCCUCCUCUAGUUCAUGGUAGAGAUUAUGGAAAUCUCUUUUUCUUUAGAUAAUGAGAGAUGAUGGAAAUCUACAGGCAGCCAGGCAGACGACAGACAGACAAACGUGCCCACCCCAUCAACAAAUUUAGCCUGCAGGACGGCGGCCGGUGUGCAUGACAUGCCAUCUCAAUUGCUCCGUUCGCCGAUCGCCGCCGUUUAAAGCUCGACCGGCCCAACCAAUCUGUACCGACCAACCAUACGUUCAUGUUCCAUUCAAUUCCGGUGUUUGUGCUGCACAAGUCGCUCGCACUCGAGCAACGCAAAUCAAGCAAGCCCAGCUAGCUUGCUUGCCAGAAUUUCUAAGCUGUCGAUGCAAUGCCGCAUGCCUGGCACAUAUUCUUCCCCGUUUUUCCUUUUCGUUCACUUUCUUUUCAAAACUCAAAGUUUUCACUCUGCACUCAGCACUCCUAGUCAGAAUUUCUAAGCUGUCUAUUUCUAACCUUACCAUUAAAUCUGUAGGAAAAUUAAUGUGCUCAAUCGCUUCCUUUUCAAAAUUCAAAGCACUCCUAGGAGCACUCUUUCAGGGACCAUAGUUUCAAAAUUGAUCCUUCUGUUAACCGGCGCACUCUUUGAGGGACAUUUUUUAUACAACUUGGAGCAUUUGAGACAUCAAUUAGACCCUGUUUUCUUCUGUUAACCGGCGCACUCUUUCAGGGAACAUAGUUUAAUUAUGUGCUAAUCAUAUACUCCUAGUAGGAUAAUGAUGUGAUAGUAGUGCUCACACUCAGCAACUCCUUCCCUGCUAAAACCUGACCAAUUUAAAUUCUAGGCACCCAGCAGGCAUUGAGCUGUCUUCUCCUAACCCUGCAUCCAUAUCUUCCAAAUGAUCUGUACUCCUAAUUCUAUUCUAUCAAUAUAUGGCAAGCACUCGUACACAAGCAAGCAGCACCAGCUGCAGAAGGAUGUCAAAUUUGUCAUGCUCGUGCCCUGUGCAGGUGCAGCUAGGGCAGGGGUCGUCGGCGCCAAAUAAAGUCUUCAUCAACUCCCCUUGUUUCGGCGCAUAUUGGGCGGCGGCGUCUCUUGACAGACAGUGAUUGGCACGUUUGUGUUCAGUAGGUACACACCAAACAGAACCCUUCCAGCAGCCAUGAUCGCUGUAACCUUGAUACUUCUGGGCUAUUCGGUAGGUCUGUUUCUGAAUAAUGUAGUGCCUGUUUAGCUCUUAAAGAAAUGGCAUGUUUUGAUGCAAAUGGAACGUUGUGAUUACUUGAAAAACAGAGUCAGACGCACAUGGCCUUGUACCAUAGCUAGCUUCUUGUCCUCUGAUUAUGUCAAAGUUUCUGCUGGGAAUUCAAACUGAGCAUGAGACGGGGGGAAAAAGAAAAGUUCAGGCAAGUCAAAUGGCAGAGCACAAUAGACAAACCAGGGUAGAUUAAAUCUGCGUACGAGUAGUAGCUCUGCUAGAUCACUGGAGCUACGUUGCAAUUGUUUGUGGGCAAGCAGGAAAGGUGCCUUUAUUUGUGGAGACGCUGUGGAUCGAGGAGCGCCGUAUCACUGUUUUGACAGCAAAGCUGAGUUGUAAAGAGGGACUCUUUUGAUGAACAAAACGAUGAGGCAGGCGUCAGUAUUACAGGUCUCGAUCGAGCUAUAUAAUAUGCCAUCGGCUCAUCAUGGUUCCCGCCGCGGAUUAAGCGCUUCAAAUUUUCAACAAUUCCAGUUGUUCCUUCCUUUACAUCUGAAACGGCUCCAAAAUAUGACUGGGCUGCUCCUUUUUAGGAAGGACCAGAGACUGGCAUUCUGAAUUUGUGGCUGCAGUUUGAUCUUACCAUUCACAAAUCCUAAUUCCAGCAGAAUGCACUGCAACGGUAGAGUUCCUGAAAUUUCCCUGAAUCCAUUAGAGAAGCAGCACAUUUUUACUUUCUGUUUGCAUGAGCAGUGACGAGGCAAUCAACGGAAUUCAGAUGCUGCCAACGCCAAGAGCUACUACCUACCAACAAAUCAAUUCUAGUUUGAAGAAGCAUCAAUUGAAGGCCAAACGGUUCUUCCUCGAUCGAUCGACCACCGCCUCACCCAUAAUUCAGCAGCCGCUAGUGCUAGGUGCUAAUUCAAUUCCGCCGGUGGCACAUUUAGGUAGACCUUCCAGAGCCGUAUUAUGUGUCACAAUCAUUAUCGAACAUGGCUCGUGUCCCCCCAACAACAUCUCCUCCUCCUCCCUCCAUGUAUUUAUAUGCAAUCGCCCGGCCACGACCCACUGGCGGUAGUGGCAGUACAAUCCCCAGCUCAGCAUCGCCUCCCAUGGCCUCCUCCUCCUCCAGUUGUCACAAAGGCCGCCGCCUUGCCGCCGGCAUUGCGCUCCUCCUCCUCCUCCUCGCCGGCAAUGCCGCCGCCUACCCCGGCGGCGGCGGUGACCUGAGGUACCAGUUCCUGUCGCAGCAGAACGCGGCGCGGGCGUCGAUGGGCCUGCCGCCGCUGGUGUGGGACGAGCGCGUGGCGUCGUACGCGCGGUGGUACGCGCAGUCCCGGCGCGGCGACUGCGCGCUGGUGCACUCGUCGGGGCCCUACGGCGAGAACCUCUUCUGGGGCAGCGGCACCGGGUGGGCGCCCGCGCAGGCGGUCGGCGCCUGGCUCUCCGAGCGCCCCCGCUACGACUACUGGAGCAACAGCUGCUACGGCGGCAUGUGCGGCCACUACACGCAGAUCAUGUGGCGGAGCACGCGGCGGGUGGGCUGCGCCAUGGUCACCUGCUACAACGGCCGGGGAACCUUCAUCACCUGCAACUACGACCCGCCGGGGAACUACGUCGGCGUGCGCCCGUACUGAGCGGCGGCUACUGGUUAACCGGUGGCCGGGCGCCGGUGAACGAUCACCUACUACCUCUUCUUCCAUGCCACUAUCGCCUUGAUCCGCGGGGCCACCCUCCGCACGGCUGCUAGCGAGCUAGCUGGCCGGCAUGCUGCUGCAGCCUGGCUCUCGCUGCCCACCAUUAAUUCGUUGUCACGACAUUGGUCGAGAUGCUACAAGUGUACAAAAAUGCAUCAUUAUUUGUUACGGUACUACCAUUACUAUUUACUUUCUUCUUCUUUUUCCCUGCCAAGAUAUAUCUAUAUAUACCGCGAGGUUAUUCGUAGGACCCGGGAAACUGCAACGAAAUUUGAGCUAACAGAAUGAGAACCUCUUUUUCCCCUUCUUGGACGCUGCAGUUUGUUCGGCUCUGCUGUUGAACUCGCGCCUUUGCGUGCAAUUUGUAAAAACUAAACUAAAAAGUGAUAUUGUGAUGCUGCUGCAAGAAUGGCAGCAUUUGCAAAAAAAAAAUGAUGCUCCUUGCUUUGGUUGAACCAACGAUAAAGAUCGCUUUCUCGCGUGGCUUUUAGGCGAUUCGAUUCCAUUCCGUGUCGCUGUCGCAGCUGCACGCAGCUCCUGAUUGGUGGUUGGUUGGGUUGGUUGGCGUAGCAACUGCAGAUCGAGCUUUGGAGACUGGGGGAAACGACUAGCGAAUGAGCUGUUAAAUGAGCGUGCACGUCAGCAUGUGGCUGGACGGAGGAGACUGCACUGCACGGGGAAGACGCCCCUCUCUCCGAGCCUGCUGGUGCUGGGCCUCCUCCUCUGGUCCUCUGGCGCUCUCUCUCAAGUCAAGUCUGAACGUGUGUGCGUUAUGGGCAGGCAGUUGGAAUCCGAUGCGAUGCGACGCGACGCCACCGGACUCGCCUUUAAUGAGAUCUCCCCUAACUCUGCGGCGUCCUCGUGAUCCACCCGACGCCAUGGCCGAUUGGCAGCGGAGCGCCGCCCGGAUCCGUCAGGAGCGAGCAAGUGGCCCAUCGCCGCGCGCCAGUAAACAGGAGUAAACAACACCCCCCCCCCCCGGCCGUGCACUUGGACAGAGGCACAGAGCUGCCUGUAUACGUAACGCGACAGCUGCUCCAACAAUUAUACUGCCGCCGGAAACUUGGCAUCGCCGCGGCGGCGGUGUUCAGUUCGAUCACCGCACGCGGCGCCACAUGUUGCAACAUGUGCCAUCGAAGGAGCAAAUUGGUCUCAGAAUAUCAAGAUGCAAUUCGAUUCGGAGCUCAACGCCCCACUGGUACGUCUCUCUGCAUUGUUUGUGUGCUAAAAAGUUCUGAGCUCGAUGAUUAACCAGUUCAUGUACCCAUACCAGCAUCACCAUAUCAGCAAUGCGGUUCAUGCAACUAUAACCUCACCCAUGUAAACUUAAAAUGCCAAGCAAGACAUACUAGGCAGGAGAUUGUUGCAUCGGACAAGCUCCCCACUUUUCAGUUGGGAGUAUAUUUUUGUACUCGAGUGCUGACAUAGGCAUAUACGCCUGCACGAUCAGGUCAGAGUCAGACUCGAUUAGAAAAUACUAGUGCCUGGGCUGGGCUACGCGACAUACGGACCCAGCGGAGAACCAUAAAAAUACCCCGCCGCGCCAUUUCCAGCGCAAAUGACGCCCCUCGCAUUAAACAUGGCCAACUCCAAUUCCUGCUGUGUGCUACGGAACAAUAUGUUCUCCCCAUGUGCCCUGGCAAACCACUUGUUGCCGAGAGACGGGACUGCGUCGUCAGUCACUUGCUUUGAACGAGCUCGUUUGUUUUUGGUUCUUCACGUCUGCAGCGGCAGUGGAUUUGACAGAAGGCGUGGUUGCGUAAGCAUAACACGACGAGGAACCUCUGCGAUGCCAUCUGUUCCGGCAAUGGCUGGACGGGAACUGAGCGACCAGAGGUCUGCUCGCUUUAGCUUAUUGAGCUGGUUUAUCAGCUAUCAAACAGUAUUUUUUUCUCACAACAAAUCAGCUAUUUCAGCUUUUCAGUCGGAUUAUAAGCUGAAGCGAAUGGACUCAAAAUUAAUGUUGCAUCUAUACAAAAGUCUGAUGGCGAAGGUGGGAUGUUCCGGGGAGCACAGCGCUGUAUGCUCACUAGUAUGUCAAUGUUAAAUCAACAGAGUUUUUCUUGGCCCGGUGCGACUAAUUACGUUCUUGCUUGCUCGGCCCAGUUAGCAUACGAUCUACGUAGGCCUAACACUGGGCCAGCUUAGACGCGACGGCAGCCCAGGUAGUAGUUGAAAUUGCUAAUCGAGUUGAUGCGCAUGCUGCUGCAUGCACAUAACCAACGCUGCGCCGCGACGCGGGAGCCGUUAGCGUUCAUCAUCGAACGGAAAAAGGCGACUGAAACAUUUUGGGACACGCGUGGGCAUCGGGCCAAUCCCUUCUCGGUGCGUGGCAGCGGUUGUUGGUUGCAGCAGCCACAUGAGGAUCGGAGGAGCAAUCAGCAAAGCCACACAAUCCAGGCAACUUUGCAUUGCGGGCUCGCUCGUGACCACGGCGGAAGCAUCUGGAACCGCCGUGCAUCGGUCACGGGUGCCCAUCCGUCCUGUACUCAAGGAAUCAAAUGGCAAAUGGCACAUCUAAUCUAAGAAACCUGAUAAGAUACCAGUAAAUGGGUAAAAGGAGCCAGAUGACAGUCGCCAUCGAGUACUGGGUGGUGACCGCUGCUUGUGUCACGUUCCUCACCGUGCCUACAAUGUGCAGCGCACGGACGGUUUCUUUCAACUUAAUUUCUAACAAAUCUAGUGCACUCAUUAAUCAUUAUGGUACCAAGGCAUUAUGCAGCUGCCUUCGUACCAAAACCUGCAUUAGCGCCAUAAACAAAAUCACCAACAAUCAAAAACCAAACCAGGUCGUCCUUUUGUCAACCCAAGACGACAAAAGCCACGCGAGUAUCGAGCCACUGGCCGGCUCACGGGUGGCAGCGACAAGCGAAUGAGUGAUCCCCCAUUGGCCAUCGCGUACGUCGCUUAAAUCCCGAGCCCCACAGGCCACAGCUCCCGUCCGUUACACCACGACGCCACGCACGCAGCUAGCGACCAAGAAAAGAAACCAUGAGGCCACCCGCGCCCCUGCUGCUCUGCUCCCUCCUCUGCCUGCAUCCACUACUCGCCACCAUCCCUCCAGCGAGCUCCUCCAAGGCGGCUCCGGCGUCGUACGCCGCCGCCACCGGCCGCCAGGGCGAGCCGCAGCCGCCGCCGUACGCGCGCAAUGCGACGGUGUACGAGGCCUCGGCGGCGCUGUGCCCGGGGUGCGGCGCGUGGGCGGAGUCGCUGGAGUUCCUGUACUACCACAACCUGGUGCGGCUGGCGCGGUGGGAGGUGCCGCUGGCAUGGUCGCCGCGGAUGGCGUCGUACGCGCGGUGGUGGGCGGCGCAGCGGCGCGGGGACUGCGCGCUGCGCCACUCGUUCCCGGAGGGCCAGUUCGCGCUCGGGGAGAACAUCUUCUGGGGCGGCGCCGGCGGCGGGGCGUGGCGACCCGGGGACGCCGUCCAGGACUGGGCCGCCGAGGGCGUCGACUACUCCUACGCCGCCAACGCCUGCGCGCCGGGCAGGGAGUGCGGCCACUACACGCAGAUCGUGUGGCGCGACACCACCUCCGUCGGCUGCGCCAGGGUCGUGUGCGACGACGGCGGGGUGUUCAUGACCUGCAACUACUACCCGCCGGGCAACGUCGUCGGCCAGAGGCCCUACUAGGAGCGUCCUCAGGAAUCAUCUGUGCAGGUUCAUGUGACGGAGUGUCAGAGUCGGAUUCGAACUCGAUCGUGUGUAAAUAUUCAGCUCGCGGUCGUUCUCGGCGGUGAAAUGAUGCAAAUCAGUGGAGUAUUUCACUAGUAUUUGUCUCCGUAAUUCAGGACUUUCUUUGCAUGAUGUUUUUUUUAUCCGAAUAAAAUGUGAGAGUUGCAUUCCCUGUGAUUUACUGCUGCUCGUCCCUUCGUUGUGGCGAGUAAAUUGGUGAAUUUUGUGACUAGGUUCUUCGUAGCUCUGGCGACAUUGAACACAAGUGCACACAACGGGGUAGAAGACGAUUGAUUGCAAAGUUCUGGGCUGCAGCUGGGCUCGGUUCUAAGGCCCGUUUUAUGCCUCCUGGGCUUCUGGCCCAGUUUAUCGAUUCAGGGCUUUCUGAAGAAACUUCAUGAAUUUUGAGCUAAUUCUGUUGCUCGUGGAGAUAAUAAAAUUUCUGUUGCUCAUGCAAAUUUCAGUGGAUUAUUCCCGCUUUAUACACUGAUGAAAAUGCUUGUAUGCACGCACGCACUCACAUCUACAAACACACAUAGGCAUAUUAUACCCUAUGAACACCUUCAAUCAGUCUUAAAUGCUAAACAGUAAAUAGUCGGCCAUGUAACAAAUCAAGUAUAUAUAUUUAUCCAUGGGAACACUAAGUAUUCAUAUGUAUGAAUGUUAGAAUUCAAGUGCAAUCGCUGGUAGCACGUUGUUUAGUUCGCCUAGUAACGUUUAAUUCCAUUCAGUUUAGAUCGUUUACUCCCGUACUUUUGAACAUUUGAAUGGUCAACUGUUUGAUAGAUCGUUUACAGCCUAAACAACAUAGUAACAUCUGUUUACCAUUUGGACGCCAUUUAAACAGUCGUUUAGGUGAACUUUGUAGGUCAAUGGAUCUUAUAAUUGAUAAAGUCGCCACAAACACAUCACCUACCAGUAAAACUAUAACAUUGUCGAUUCCUAAAAUAAUUUAAAAUACGAGUAUUCAUGCUAUGGCUAAGCUAUGCGAACAUUUUUCACCAUAACGCUUGCUACGUUUGUGACCUCUCUUGUUAAAAGAUAGCUUGCUACUCCAUCUGUCCCAAAUUACUAUUCGUUUUGACUUUCUAGAUACAUACUUUUUGAUAUACUUAUGUCAUAUCAAAAGUUAUGUAUCUAGAAAAGUAAUUUGGAACGGAUGGAGUAUAUUGAAACGCCAGCAGACUUAUUAUAUGCAUUCAUGUGCGUGUGGCAUUAAGUAGUUUCGAGUCAGCGUAUAACAUUACGCCUUUUUAACACAGAUGGAAAAUCAACAAUAACUGAAAGUCAAUACAGUAUUCUAAUAAAGAUAAUGUAAGUUGAGAUACGAGGAGAAAGAUGUGGUUCUCAUCAUGAGUUCAUGCCAUGAACAAAACAAACGAGGACAAACCCACAAGCUCGUCACUCUCAUGCAUGGCAUAUAUCACCUAACAACUGAACUCCCAACAAAUAUGUAAUUAGCUAGGUAUAAGAGGAAAUUAAUGUAAAACAGGAGCACAAAGCAUGAUUAGGAACGGUGGUAUAGCGGCACCCACUGGCGGAGGGACGGGAUCAGAAGGGCUUCUGCCCCAUGACGUUGCCCUGCGGCUCGUAGUGGCAUGCCAUGAGCGUCUCCCCGGAGGCGCAGUCGACGGUGGCGCAGCCGAAUUCCUUGCUGUUCCGCCACACCAUCUGCGUGUAGCGGCCGCAUCCCUUGCCGUCGGCGCAGGUGUUGGAGCCGUAGUCGAAGUGCUGCUCCUCCUCCGCCCACGCCGCCACCGCGUCGCUCGGCAGCCAGGUGGCACCCGCGGGGCCCAGGAACACGUUGAUGCCGGCCGCCGGCGCCGCCGCCGCGCAGUUGUCCUUGAACUGGGCCACCCACGCCGCCGCCCGGUCCGAGAGCUCCUGCGUGUACUUGAGCGGCCGCACGUUGUUCUUGGCGCGGAGGUGCGCGUGGGGCACGUCGAAGUCCUGCCCGACGCAGGUCUGGAGCAGCCGGCGAGGCGCCGCCGCCGAGCCCGGGGAGGAGGCCAGCAGGACGACGCCGACCAGGACGAGGCACCACGAGAGCCUGCUGCUGGUUCUUGAGCUGCACUCCAUGGCGACGACCAGUGUUCCCCGGCACUAAUGAGCUAGAGCUAGGUAGCUAUAGUACUCUAGCAGCGUAAGAAAUGACGAUGCCAAUGGCUUCUUCCUGCUGGCUGUUAUAUACGCGAGCAUUGCCGACAAAUAAGAAAUUCACCACCGAUAUUUAUGAUCUUUAUUAGUUUACGAAUUAUCAUUAGCAUAUGCAUCCAGUGCAGUAGUGGUAGAUCGAUGGAUCCGCUGAUCGAUGAAGAAGAAUCAUGUCAUGUGAUCGGGGCACGUCCAUUGAGAAGAAGGCGUCCUGCAACUCUCGCGAUCGAUCGAGGCAGGCCGUCGUGUGUCCUCGUUUGACCUGCGAUUUCAUUAUUGAGCUGCGCAGUGUACGAACGUUCUUAAAUGUUUCUCUCUCCUCCAUUGGUCGGUUUGACACCUUGGGCAAAUCUAUGGAGUCGGGGUCAGAGGAUGCCGGCCUAGGACGAUGGAGUCUCAGCUCGUCAGUUUGCAGGUGAAGUAAACGCUUUGAAAAGGCCAAAAGGGGUUUGGGGCGAUUUGUUCAGUGUCUUCAGUGUAGUUUAAUGGUUUCUCUGCAGGGAUUUCUCGCAAAUAGAAGCAUUGACAUGGGAACACAUGGUUUCAUGUGGCUCAAGCUGCGGCCUGACAAGCUCGAUCGACCGCGCGCAUCUAGGAUCGAGGGACUGACUCAUCAGUCGGUGGGUGCGUCCCCUGUGUGCGUGGAAGCUUCGUUUGCUGCAGUUCUCUCAUGCCACUGGGUGAUCGACGGAUUAAACAAACUUCUGCAAUCUGCGUAGUACGGUCGCUCAUCUCCUAACGAGCAUAGAAAAACUGUCUAAAAUAGGAAGAAAUGGACCGUUUGCAAUUUGUUUGGGGGUCAGUCGAUACAUUUGGCCCGUCAAUAGGAAGUUCAAGGCCCAAUGGCAAAGCUAGUCUUAUUGGGCCUCCCAGUCUCUUUAUGGCAAUAUAAAAGGCCGACAUCCCACGGUUUAAUUAGGACCGCUCGAUGUGUCAGGCAUACGAAUCCGCACGCCAAUCGCUAUCGUCGAUUUCCCUUGAAGCAACGGCUCACCUCUCCAGCAAUUCCAGAACCGUCCGACGUGGACCCGCAACCAACCGGGAAAUGCCCGCGUCUUCCAGAUUCUACACUUCCGCCACGUGCUCCCCGGUCUCCGCCUCCUCCCGUUCCCCUCCUCACCGCCGCCGCUACGCCUCCCUCAUGGGCCAGUCUCCGAGCGCGCCCCCGGGGCGCAACCGGAGCCGGAGCAGCUCGCGGUGGCCGCAGCCCGGGCUCGGGCUCGACCUAGGAGUCUUUCUCGGGCGCAAGCCGCGGCCGGGGGACGAGAGGCUGGACCUCGCGAACUGGAUGCGAUGCUUCCUGUCGCAGCGUCUACCGCCUCCGACAGCGGAGGCGGAGGCCGACGCCGAGGGGAAAGCCGCUGGGAGCCGCGAGGAAGACGAGAUCGGUGGCGAGGAGGCGGACCACCUCGUCGUCAUGGUAAACGGGCUCUACGGGAGGUGGGCACUCGAUGGUUCCACUUGGCUGCUUGUUGUUCUCAGUUUGGUGCUCUUGUGUAUUCUAAUUUUGGUGGUUCGAACAGUUCGGCGGACUGGAAAUUUGCAGCGGAGCAGUUCGUGAAGAGGUUGCCUGGGAAAGUCUUUGUGCAUCGUGAGUGCUUAUAUUGUGUAGUCUGUACUCGUUUUGCACUUCGAAUUAAAAUGGAACGUGUUAUCACAAAGUUCAGACAUAGAAAUGUGGGGGUCAGUAUACACCUUGCAGGUGCCUGUUAGUGCAAUCGCUGGGUAAAUUUUGCAACGUUAAUUGAAACACGAUAUAGCUAUUGAGAAUCAUAGCUUGAAAUCAAUGGAAGCAGUACACUGACAUGAUGAAAAUGGCCAAAUGGGAGUGAUGUUCAGCGCAAUCUAGUUUACUAGCUAUAAUUCUGAUAUGUCUAUUCUUACGGGUAUAUCAUGCUACCCAGCUAGUUUGCCAUGGCAAGUAUGUUUCAACUUCCACUUCACAUUUAAGUGACCAUUGACCUGAUUGGUUGAACAUAAUAUAAUGUGUGCUACUGUAAGAGUACUUGUAUUAAAUAUUUCUGUAUGGCAGGUAGUCAGAGCAAUCAUUCAAAAUUAACAUAUGAUGGAGUUGAUUUGAUGGGCGAAAGGCUAGCUGAGGAGGUACAACCAACAACUAACUUUCAUUUUCGUGUACCUUGAGUUUUGCAAAUUCAUAGCUGAGUAUUGUGUUUUCGUUUAGUAAAGUUGACAGGAAAUUAUAGAAUUUAUUAGAAGGGUAGAUGAUGAAACGAAUAUCUAUCGUGCAGGUUCGACAAGUUGUUCAGAGAAGAAGAAACUUGAAGAAGAUAUCUUUUGUUGCUCAUUCGCUUGGCGGUUUAGUAACAAGAUAUGCAAUCGGAAAACUUUAUGAACCUGCCACGAAUGAAACCUCUUCUCUUGAUACUGAUAAGCUCUCUGAUGAACAAGAAACACCUGGUGCUGGUAAAAUAGCUGGUUUAGAACCAAUCAAUUUUAUUACGUCUGCUACACCACACUUGGGCUCAAGAUGGAAUAAACAAGUAAGUUUCAUGGUUAUUUACUUAUGUGAAGUUGUGAACGCCUGGUACAUUCUUCUCCUAUCUUAUUAUUAGCAUUUUUAUUGCCCAAGUCUCAUGAGCCUCCAGAUAUUCUGAACUUUAUAACUCUUAGUCCUUCUAUCGACAUGGACAAACAGGUCAGAAACCCAGCCAUUUGUUGCGUGUUGCAUUCUUAUUCCUGAAUAGCUUAACUUUCCUUCUCUAGUUAUUUUUUCAUUGCGGUCGUGUCUCAGUUCAAUAAUAAAACAGUAUCAGUAAGCCAGUAACUAAGACCUGAUUCCUUUUUAUAUUUGUGUUUUUCUUCAGCUUCCCUUUCUUUUCGGUGUCCCAGUUUUGGAGAGAACUGCUGCAGGAACUGCACAUUUUAUAGUUGGGAGAACAGGUACACAUUUAUUCCUUACAGACAGGGAUGAUGGGAAGCCUCCACUUCUGGUCCGUAUGGUUGAAGACUGUGAUGAUGGGAAAUUCAUGUAUUGAUCCAGUAACUGCACCAAGUGGUAUUGAUAUCUAUACUUCAUAUGCUGCCUUCAAACAUCCUUAUUACGCUUUUUACCUGAUGCAGGUCUGCUUUGCGCUCUUUUAAGCGUCGUGUUGCCUAUGCUAAUGUAACAUAUGAUCGUAUCCUACUGAUGCUCAAAUUUUCUAUUUUCUGUGUAAAAUUAUAAGUUCAAUGUCAAAGAUAUCUGUUUGUCUGUGCCCUUGACUUAUGGAAAAAAGAUAUAGUUGGUUGGAGAACAUCGUGAAUUCGGCGUCAGCAUGAAUUACCAAAAGUAAACCUACACUCCUAUUUAUUAAGAGGCAAUGGAGGUUUUGUUUCCCAGCAAGAGGGUAUCCUCAUGCUUUACCACUAAUAUUUUUAUAAUGUGGCCUUUUGUUUCCCAGCUUAAGUUAACAGCAAAGGAUGAAAAGUAUCCUCAUGUUAUUAAUGUCGACAACGGAAAUUCAGAGGAUCAUCAGCAAGAGGAGUCUGUAGAAGGUUCGCUGGCAGAUAGCUUAGAAGGUAAUAAUCAUUGUGAUAUAUAUGCGAUACAUUUCCACACUUGCGCGAGGGCUUUUGCUCUUUUUUCUGUAGACUGGGUAGAGGUGACUGUUAAGAAUUGAAGGAAAACUAGGGAAGUUGCAAACUGAAAUCCUGCUAAGUGCUAGCCAUUAAUUGAUAAGCUUAUCUAAUUUGAAAUUACUGAUGCAAGUAGGAUGCAGUGCUCAUGUUUUCAAACUAGAAAUUAUGAUUCAGUGGUUUUUUCUGCUAGCUGUGCAUUAAGGGAGGUAUUUUUACAGAGAGGAUGAUCCGUGGCCUUACACAAGUUAGCUGGGAACGCGUGGAUGUAUGCUUUCAUAAAAGCUGGCUAAAAUACAACGCCCAUCAUAACAUCCAGGUAAGAUUUGGCCAUUAUUGGAAGACUAUUCUCAAUUAUUCUAGUACAGUUGGACUUGCAUUUGUGUUUUUAACGAAUUGUGGAUUUGUAUUACAACUAACUCACCAAUUGGGAGUUGAACUGCUAAGCGUAUGGCAUUGCACCUGUUGGAUAGCUGAGGAAGAAUCGUAUGGGUCAUUCUUAUUAUUCUAGUACCUAGUCAGUAGAUGCGGGCCUUCCUGCUGGCAUAUGUGAUAUUUCCUCUUUGGUAGUAAUAGACAUAACUUCCCUAGGAAAGCUACAUGAUUGAGUGUGCAUGCUUUUCCUGAUAAUACUGUAAGACAGGUGUUCCAGGGAAGUUUAAGCAUUCGCUGUUGAUUUAUAAUUCGUGCAGGUUAGGAUUCAUCCAGUUAAUUCGGAUGGGGAAGAUGUCAUAUACCAUAUGAUAGAUAAUUUUCUAGUCUAGACAGCUAGACUAGCUUUACUCAACAACUCUUUCCAAUGAGUUCCUCACGAGAGGGUCCUAAUCUUUUAUGACGUGACCAAUGAGCAACUCAAUCUAGAUAGUUGACUGGUAUCAGUGUAUCAACAUGUACUCAGGCAUACUGCCAGGUGAUUAGAGCAUGUGACCUGAUUUUGUUGCUGAUUGCUGACAAUGUAAAGUGUUAGUAAUGUAAAUGUUAGCUUGAUAUUUCAAAAUUCUUAUGCAUUAUAAAACGUUGAUCAAAUUUGGAAGUUGCGACGAUGUAAAUUUUCCGGUUGCUAUCCAAAAUGAAUAUGACCUUUUUGUGCCUGUCUGCUUUAUAGUUAUUCACUUAUUCUGCAUCAAAAUACCUGCUCUUGAAGUUUUGCCAUCAAUCCAUCAUCAAGGUGACAAGCUUUGUCCUGAGGUCUUUCUGUACUGACAAAGUGACUUAAUUUUAGAUACCUAUCGUUUUCCUAUUUAGCAUUAGCACCACCUACUUAGCAGAAAAUGGGAAGGGGAGAACUGGUGGUUGCCCGUUAAACAUUCCGAUGCAGCUCUAAUUAUAGUCAGCGGAGGUUAGUAAACAGGAGAGGAAGUAUAAAAGAGAUGCCCCAAAAUAAUCUUCUGUACACCACCCCCUCCCCAAGACCUUCGAGGGGAUGAUCAAUAGCCGACAUCAGAAUUGUAGAGAGUUAGCCUAGAAAAAUAUAGCAGAUCAAGUAUCUAUACCAAUCCAAAUAGCGCACAACGUGCAUCAGAGGAGGAGAAGCAAUAGAAGCUCGUUCGGGGGAUGGGCAAGUACAGCGACGGCAAGGACGGCGAGACCGGCGGCAGCUACCCGUUGGUGGCGGUGUGCAUCGACAAGGACAAGAACAGCCAGAACGCGCUCAAGUACGCGACUGAGACGCUCGCCCACAAGGGCCAGACCAUCGUCCUCGUCCAUGUCAACACCAAGGGCACCUCAGGCAAGUGUCCAUGGCCGCCUCCCAUCACGAGCAAUUUCUUGUCGCCGUCGACGAUGACCUUCGUGUUUCUGACGGCGGCGUGGCUGCGUGCAGGAGGGGUGGAGGACGCCGCCGGGUACAAGCAGCCGACGGACCCGCAGAUGAAGGACCUCUUCCUCCCGUUCCGCUGCUUCUGCACCCGGAAAGACGUACGUACGCGCCCACAUCGAACGCGACGACAGCGUUCAUGAAGCCUGCUGUGUAAUAAUGUACGUGUGCUUUCUUGCACGCAGAUCCACUGCAAGGACGUGGUGCUGGACGACCACGACGUGGCCAAGUCGAUCGUCGAGUUCGCCGCGCACGCCGCCAUCGAGAAGCUCGUCGUCGGCGCCACCGCCAGGGGCGGCUUCGUCAGGUGAGCAAUGCAACGGCCCUUCUCCGUUGAUUUCUAGUCCAGCGCGCAUUACAUUCCUCAGGCUGGCAUUGAGGUCUCCGAACAACAAGUCAAGUGAAAGAAAUCCCUUCUGGUUUGGUCUUGUGAAGGUUCAAGGCGGAAAUCUGCAGCACUAUCUCAAAGACGGCGCCGGACUUCUGCACCGUGUACGUCGUCACCAAGGGCGGCAAGGUGACCUCGGUGAGGCAGGCCAUCCGCCAGGCGCCGGCCGUCUCGCCGCUGCGCACCAUGAUCCAGGGGCCCAAGCCCGAACACGCGCACGCGGCCGCGCAGAAAUGGGCGCCGCCGCCUCCAUCCUCAAGAGGUUUGUUUGUUCGUAGCAUCACAACUCACCCUGCGUAUAUAACAUGAUCGCAGAGUACAUACAAUGAAUCAACCAAAUUUCAAAAUCCAAAUUCUGGCAGGUGAUGUAGCCGGGACGCCAAUGAUGCAAGACAAUCCCAUCAUGUAAGUUUCGGUGUUCACUCUUGCGCGAUCUCCGACGACGAAUGUGCCACGAAGCGAACGCAUGGUGACCUCGAUGGGUUUUUGUGCACGGGCAGGUCGCCGUUCGCGAGGACGACAGGACUGAGCGCGGGGUCAGCGCGGAAGCCUUUCCCGGAGUUCUCGCUGCCGGAGUCGUCGGACAUCUCGUUCAUCGGCUCCGCCCCGCGCCGGAGCACGGAGCGGUACCCGCCACGGCUGUCGAACGGGUCGGACGGCCUCGACCAGCACAGCUUCGAGGCGCGCACGCCCAGCCGGUGGGGCGACUCCUUCGGCAACGACAGCACGGCGCACUCCCAGACCAGCACCUCCUCAUGGUGCUCCCAGCCCAAUGACGACAUGGAGGCGGAGAUGAAGCGGCUUCGGCUGGAGCUGAAGCAGACCAUGGACAUGUACAGCACGGCGUGCAAGGAGGCGCUGAGCGCGAAGCAGAAGGCGAUGGAGCUGCAGCGGUGGAAGGUGGAGGAGGAGCAGCGGUCGCAGGAGACGCGGCUGACGGAGGAAUCGGCCAUGGCGCUGAUCGAGCAGGAGAAGGCCAAGGCGAGGGCGGCCAUCGAGGCGGCCGAGGCGGCGCAGCGGCUGGCGGACCUCGAGGCCCAGAAGAGGAUCGGCGCGGAGAUGAAGGCGCUGAAGGAGGCCGAGGAGCGGCUCCGUUCCAUGGGCUCCGGCGCCGGGGCCCGCGAGUCCGUCCGCUACCGCAGGUACACCAUCGAGGAAAUCGAGCUCGGGACCGACCACUUCAACGAGGCCCGCAAGGUCGGCGAGGGCGGGUACGGCCCCGUGUACAAGGGCCACCUCGACCACACCCCCGUCGCCAUCAAGGUGCUCCGCCCCGACGCGGCGCAGGGCCGGUCCCAGUUCCAGCAGGAGGUGGAGGUGCUCAGCUGCAUCCGCCACCCCAACAUGGUGCUCCUCCUCGGCGCCUGCCCCGAGUACGGCUGCCUCGUCUACGAGUACAUGGCCAACGGCAGCCUGGACGACUGCCUCUUCCACCGCGGCGGCGGCGGCGGCGCCUGCGGGCCGGUGAUCCCGUGGCAGCACCGGUUCCGCAUCGCGGCGGAGAUCGCGACGGGCCUGCUGUUCCUGCACCAGACCAAGCCGGAGCCCCUGGUGCACCGGGACCUCAAGCCCGGAAACAUCCUCCUGGACCGCAACUACGUGAGCAAGAUCAGCGACGUCGGGCUGGCGCGGCUUGUCCCCCCUUCCGUGGCCGACAACGUGACGCAGUGCCACAUGACCUCCGCCGCCGGCACCUUCUGCUACAUCGACCCGGAGUACCAGCAGACGGGGAUGCUGGGGGUCAAGUCCGACGUCUACUCGCUGGGGGUGAUGCUGCUGCAGAUCGUCACGGCGCGGCCACCCAUGGGGCUCACGCACCACGUGGGGCGCGCCCUGGAGCGCGGCACCUUCGCCGACCUCCUCGACCCGGCCGUCCAUGACUGGCCCAUGGAGGAGGCGCACCGCUUCGCCGAGAUCUCGCUCCGCUGCUGCGAGCUCCGCCGCAAGGACCGGCCAGACCUCGCCACCGUCGUGCUCCCAGAGCUGAACCGCCUCCGCGCGCUCGGCGAGGACAACAUGGAGUACUGCAACCCAAUGACCGGACGCGGCAGCGGCAUGCACAGCUCCUCCGGCUUCCACAGCGGCCACUACUCCCAGCCACGACACGUAGCGCCCUCCCUCCUCUUUGCUGACACUUCUUUGCUGAAUCUGAUGCAUAUCGUUGACACUGGUAAUCUGACAUCUGAUGUGCAGGAUCCGGCGAGUGAUCCGACGCUAGGGAGGUUGCACCACAGCUCCCACGGGAGCCAGUCCGGCAUGCCUACAAGGAGGUCCAACUACAACUGAGAUAUCGCGACAGCAUUCGAGUGGAGUGACCAUAACCAACCAAUCAAUCGCCAUGAAUCACUGCUAGACUGCCCACUGAUGCCUAACUGAACUGAAAUCGUCUCCUGAUCUGAGUAGAUAGCUACUAUUGCUAACUGAAGCAGGACCAGAAGUAACAUGACAAUAUGCCAAUGGUGCGCACUUGGGUAUAGUCAAUAGUUAAGAUGUAAUUGUGCAGUACAUAGUCUCAAAAUUUCUGUUUUAUUUGUAAGCGACCUGAUAUUGCAAAGACAAAUUGAAAUUGGGUGCCGACACUUUCUCCCAAAAAGUCAUUGAAAUUGCAUCACGUUAUGUAUAAGGCUGACCGGUGAAGCUGGGCACUGGAACGACCGAACGAGGAACUUCCGAACUUGAUUUCUGUUUCGUUCGUCUAGUCGAAGUCACAGCACGGAACGAGGACAUUCUCUCUGCCUUUGCCUGGCGCUGAACCGGCAACACGUUUCGCGCAACGUGACGCAUCCUGGAACCUGUCGGUUCUCGAGAUGGCCAAGGAAAAGUUGGCGUCGUGCUCGUGUCGCCGCGGCCGUUUCCACGCUUUGUCCACACACUGGCGGUACAUGGUUUGACGUGCUGUACACCGACAGGCGUAUGCCCUGUCCUCGUCAGAACCGCCGGCCUUGUCUGAAACUCUGAACUCUGAAGCUGCGGCGUAGUGAACUGAAUAGGCAGCGAUUGGGAGCUGUCAACUGACGCAGCCUUGCUAGCAGCUCAAAUAUGAAAUUGCUUCUGUAAUUUGCAGCUCUAGGCACGGCGCAUGCAUCGACGACUCGGCGUUCAUCUGACGCCGGGAGGGUGCAGGUUCGACGCACCUCGGAAGUUUGCAGAAGCCGGGACGCGGACGCGACCCCUGCCGGCCGGUUGCCGAGAAUCUAUGCUACGGAUUGCGGAAGUGACACACACACGGAUUGCUUUGGUAACUCCGCGUGCUGGGAGAAGGGAGACACCAUCAUGGUGUGGCGCGGGCCAAACAUCCUGCACCCUUCGUGCCUGACACGGUGGUGAUCGAUCGGACUACUCCUUGGGCCGUGCAACCCGGCCGCUGCGGCGCUGCGGGAGGCCACUGGCCAUCGGACAUGGACGUUGCUUUCAUGUGCCUAGGGAUCCGAUCCGAGGCCGAAGCCGCGGCUCCAGAUCCCGAACGCCCAUUGGUGGUGCAGUAUGCUACCAGUAUAGUACCGCUACAGCACGGGAGACAUCACCGAACGAAGAUGGCAGGGCCGCUGGCCACUGGAUCAAAGUUGAAAAAUGCUUUGUUCAGGCUGAUGAGAUCUCACAUUUUUUAAAAAAAUUAUACAGUAUUCGUGAGAUGAGACAAUGAGCGGAGUGGUGUUCCUCAAAGCUCAUACACCCAAACUCCCAAAGCGCCAAAGACCUCUGAGCGUUCCUGCAAAAGUGCACGCCGCAUCCUAUUUCAGUCCUGCGCUGCGGCCCCUCUGAGGCUCUGACGCAGCCCUCCUCGCAAUUCCCAUGACGCAGCCAGCACGCACCAAUGGCAGCCAGUAUGGCGCUCGUGUCAGAGACGAGCAGAGCAGGAGCAGGAGCAGGCUGCGCCACCGACUGCGACGUCUGCUGCUAGAUGGGUAGGUAGAUGAGAUCCUAUCCUACUGUAGAUACGGUGACGCCGAUGAUGAUCCGUCGCCUCGCUCGGAUCCUCGCCGAGGCGAAACUUCCAAACAGUGGCAGCGGCUACGCGACAGCCUACGCUCCUUCCUUCCACUGGCCUGCACCUCUCCUGCUCCCCCACCCCAUCGAUGCGCCCGUGUCAGAGAGACUUUUCCUUUCGAAGGCCCUAUUUCUCCCAAAAUCCCAACUUUAGCACUAUAAAAAAGAAGAUUCUCCAUCGUAUCAAAUUUGCGGUACAUGCAUGGAGUACCGAAUGUAGACGAAAUCAAAAACUAAUUGCACAGUUUUGUUGUACUUUGCGAGACGAAUCUUUUAAGCCUAAUUAGUCAAUAUUUGAAUAAUAAUUCACAAAUACAAACGAAAUGCUAUAAUUUUAGUUGUCCAAAGUUAUGCACUAAACAAGGUCUGAAGAAUCCUCCUCCUGCCUCCUCAUCUCACUCUCUUCCUUCUCUUUUCUCUCCUCUCCUCCCCUUCUCUCUCUCCGAUCAGCACGCGCCCAGCUCAGGAGUCAGGAUCUCCCUGGCCUUCUCUCUCUGCUUGUGGCGUGUGCAGUGCAGCAUCGUCCAAUCCGACGCCGUUCCGUUCGUUAAGCAACGUCUGGUUCCAUGUCACUGGCACUGUUAUCCGGGCAUAACUGCGCUGUCAUCUGACUUGAUUAUGCGAGCAACACAGCAUUGACUUUUCCUGCGCCGCCGCCUCGCCGUACUUAUUAAAAUCGAAUGACGAUAGCACGGCGAGAAACACACCACACCACACACUCAUCCUAGCGUGGUCGUGACGCUAGCAGGCGGGAAGCAAAAAAAAUUCAGAGAGUUGCUCGCUUUUGUUUCGUCAGUGGAGUAAAAAAAAAAGGUUUGUAUCCAAGAUCCUCAUCGCAGUCGCCGUGACCCGCAACAGAUUCGCAAGGAGUUUUCCUCCCAUGCAACAACUCUGGACGCAGCAGUGAACUGAACGCUGAGCUGCAUCAUGAAUCCGGGGUGAAUACUUUUCAAAAAAAAAAAGAAUCCGGGGUGAAGGGCAAGGGAAUUUCUUCAUGCCGUGCUGGAAUUCGCUGGGUUCGGGGCGCGGUGCCGUUCAUCACGAGUCAGGCAGCCGAUACACACACACAUGACACGAGACACUGCAUGAGAAGGGUGUGCCUCCAUUUAUUUCACUGCCAAGAAAGACAGAGUCCACACUGCUCAUGCUAUUCAUGCUACUACUCUACUUCCCCUCUCCACAGCACAACGAGCACGGACUAUCCUCCGGGCCCCACCUGGCAGUGCAGGCUCACGCCAUUCCCACUUUUGCCCUCUCCCUCCAUUAAUACGUUUCCUAUGUGCCGCCCCUUUCGCAGGCCUACAAAUCUAUCCAUUUCCAAGCAACUCUCUCUCUCUCUCUCUCUCCGAGCUGAGCAGUGCAGAGCAGAGGACCUGACCUUCGCUUCGCUUCCCCUUCCCUUCCCCUGCUUUUGGCUGUCCCCCCUGCUCGCCCUCUCCUUCUCUCGUAUGCUUCCUUUCACUGCGUAAAAAUUAGGAUGACACGCCAAGCGACGCCUAGAAAUGACCAAAACUCCCUGCAUGCAAAGUGGCGCCCGCCACAGGCCCAAAAGAAGCAAACGGGAGAGCAAAACGAGAAAAAAGAAAAGCCACCCAUUGUUGCAGGAGUGAGCUUUGCCUGCCGGACUCGGCGGAGCCAUCCGUUCUUGCAACACGGCGAGGAGGAAGAAUAAAGGAACAGAGCAGGCAAUUCCCCGAACCACCCGAGAAAUGAGAGGGGGGGGGGGGGGGGGGUGAAUAAAGCCGAUUUGGUUCUCGUUUGCAAGAUUUGAUCCAGUUUUCUUUUUUAUAAAAAAUAAUAGAAGAAGAUUUGAUCCGGCCAUCAUUCCGGCCAAUCCAUCCAGGAUUACAGAAUCCAAGAAGCCGGCAUCAAGACUGCCAUGUUGAUACCGUCAUCAUCUUCUCCACCAGGAGUUUGAUGGAUCACCACCACCAGCUGCUCCAUUUCCAAUUAAUCCAGUGAGUGGCCGAUAUUAGAAUUUAGAAAUGGAACGCGAUUGCUUUCUUAACAACCCAUAUUAUAUGAUUAUCAUUUGGAAGAACAUGAACAACAUUGGAGAUGAGAGAGAGAGGGGAGAGGAAAAGAAAAAAAAAAGUGCUAAGACGCGAAUUUAAUUCCUGGAGCAACAGCAACAACAAUGGAUGCGGUGUGACGGUUGCUGUGGCGGUGGCUUGUGAAUUCCCAAAAUGGCUAGGGAGAACGUCCCUAGAUCCCACAUCUCAUUGCCUGCCAACCAAUCAGGCAACCAACCUUUCCAUCCAUGAUCAAUCCACCCGGUCGGAUCAGGACGGGAACCAAUCAAUCGGUCGGAAUUGUGGAUUUGGUGGCGGGUCAUCAUGACGGCGGCGGGGCGGCGAGGGGCUGCGGCUGCGGCUGCGGCUGGGCCACGAACGGGUGCUGCAGCAGGCGCAUCGCGGACGGCCGGUUCGCCGGGUUCUUCUGGAGGCAGAGACUGAUGAAGUUCUUGAAGUCCGGCGAGGCGGUGCGCGGCGCCUGCGGCGAGUCGGAGUAGCAGAUGGCGCACAUGAGCGCGGCCCAGUCGCCCUGCUUGCCGAGGUUCUCGCCGAGGGGGAAGCGGCCCAUGUAGAACUCGAGGAUGCUGAGGCCGAAGCUCCAGAUGUCGCCGGCGUAGCCAUCGUAGGCGCCGUCGUUGAGGUCGGUGUUGAUGCGCUCGGGGCUCAUGUAGGCGAUGGUGCCGACGGAGGAGUUGCAGGGGUCCAUGGUCUGGUUGAGGAUGCGGCCCACGCCGAAGUCGGCGAUCUUGACGCGCCGCCCCGAGUCGAUCAGGAGGUUGGAGGGCUUGAUGUCGCGGUGCACGAUGUGGCGCCGGUGAAGGUAGGCGAUGCCGGAGAGCACCUGGCGCGCCACGUGCGCGAGGAAGCCCUCGUCGGCGAUGCGGCGACCCUCGAGGGAUCCCCCGUCCAUGUACUCGAGCAGGAUCUGGAGCUCGCCGGCCUGCUCGUACAUGCCGUGGCAGCGCACCACGGCCGGGUGCUCGGCGGUGCGGAGGAUGGCGAUCUCGCGCGUGAUCUGCCGCCGCACGGCGUCGUCGUGGUUGCCGUAGAGCACCUUGAGCGCGUAGGCGCGGCCCGUGGGGCGGUGGCGCACCAUCCACACCGUCCCGCCGGCGCCGCUCCCGAUGCGGCGCACGCGCUCCAGCUCGCACAGCGGCGGUGGGUUCGGCGGCGCGGAGCCGGCCGAGGUCGGCGGGGUGGGCGCGCCGAGCGACGCCGGGCCCGACAACGCCCCCGACGACGACGUGGACGACGGCGCGGAGGACGGAGGGAGCGGCAGGGGCAGCGGCACCGCGAGCGAGGUCAGGUCCCGCUGCGGCAGCGGCAGCGUGAGAUCCGGGCGCCGGCGCGACCGCCCCGGCGUGCCCGGCUGCUGCGGCGGCUGCAGCGCCCGGGAGUUCGGCGGCCCGCCCGGCCUCAUCGCGCCCGCUCUCUCUCGCUCUGUCUCUCGUGCGCGGUGCCGGUCGCGCGUCGGAGACGCGAACGGGAGGAGGAAGAGGGGAGGAGCGCCUCGCGGGACGGGGCGCGUGCGCUGAUGGAUUGGUGUGGCUCUCGUCACGUUGGAGUUACGUUUUGUUUGGGCUUGCGGAGUGGGAGGUCGGGGCAGGGAAGGCAGAUUCGAGAGGGACGAGUGUUUUUUAUAGACGACGGGCCCAGAGAAAGAACAGAACGAGACGGGACGAGUGGACGUGCAGGAGAAGUUGCAAAAGGAUUUUGCCGGUUUUCCGCCGAUGGAGAUGCGGUUUAACUGGUCCGGUCUUUCAGAGUAACUGUAUUUAGCAUUUCUAAGUUACCGCUAGUAAGCCGUUUCCACAUAUACUGUAUUCUACAUUUUUUUACAUAUACGGCAUUGUAGGAAGGUUCGUUGCUUCCUUCCUAUAAACCACAACUCCUAUCCAGAUUCAACCAUCUUCGUCAUAACAUAUUUUCCCAUUAUUAGUUUCCUCAUGUUGCUAUAUGAGCUAUUAAGUUACAAUGAAAGGCACUAAGAUCUCUUUUGUAGCUACUGAAUGAAAAGAUAAAACAUAGGACAAGCUAUGUUGGAGACGGUCUUGGCGACAUGCAAAAUCCUAUUUCUUAGCUUUGAUAUGAUGACUCGUCAAAACUUCCUAGAGUGUGGCUAAAUCCAAAAACAAGGUGACCAAGAAAUAGGGUGCAAUCCAUUGCUCCAUAUUCGAAUGGAUGCAUAACUGACUAAUGUAUUUGCGUUUCUAAGUUACAUGUAAAUAUUCCACAAAUGUGCACCAAAACAUUAUUAUUUUAAUAUUAUGAUCGGAACAUACUCCUUUACCCCUAGAAAAUCGUCGUUCUUUCUAGAUUCUACUAUGUUUGUCCGUUACACCUUUCUCUCUCAACACCCUUCUCAUAUUCCCGCCUAGAUCAUCUCAUGAUGGAGAGAAAGCUAUAUAUUGGCAACGUCACCUACUCAUCAUAGUUGCUAGAAUGUAGGAGGUGGAGGACGCGCCUUGCUAGAGGUUACACUAGUGCCAAUAGGGUAAUUAUAACAAAUUACGUAAGGUGGCUACUAAUUAGGUCCCACUUGCUCAUUAAACCUUCUAAAACAGCUAAAUCAAAUCAAGCAUAACACAGGGUGUGUUUCGUAGAGUUAGCGUGCUCCCUCCAUCCUAAAUUAUAUAUUAUUUUGGUUUUCUAAAUUUAUAGAUUUUGCUAUAUAUAUUGAUAUACGUUAUGUCUAGAUGCAUAGUAAAAAUUAUGAAUUUAAAAAAAAUUAAAACUUUCAUCCCAAAUUAUAUAUCAUUUUGGUUUUCUAAAUUUAUAGAUUUUGUUAUAUAUAUUGAUAUACGUUAUGUCUAGGUGCAUAGUAAAAAUUAUAAUUUUAAAAAAAUUAAAACAAUCUAAUAGAUGCAGGAGUACAAUUCACGUGGUCACGAAUACAUAUAGUAAUCAAUUAUUGUUUAGAAGUAAGAAAAGAUUUUCGUAGUAGUGCGUGACAAGAUCCAAUUAGGAGUAGUACAGAUAUUUGCAACCACUCGCACGUCAUUUUGAUGUACCGCCAUGCAUCAUACGGCGGUUAAAAUAUAAAUUCACUUAUACCCUUUCAAAAAAAAAUCACUUACGCCCGUACAUCUAGAUGCAAUAGUUCAUUGGCUCCUCUCAGUCUGUCUUCGCUUAAUAAAAAUAUAAUACUCCCUCGUUACUCUUUGGUUAGCUAGGUUCAGAUUAGGAGAAGAUGAUACGUAGGGGUGAACACCCUAUUAAAAUUUAACACCUGUCUCAUCGGAUGUUUGGAUGCUAAUUAGGAGUACUAAAAAUUAAUUGCACAGAUGGAGCAUAAUUCGCGAGAUGAAUCUAUUAAGCCUAAUUAGUUCAUGAUUUGACAAUGUGGUGCUACAGUAACCAUUUGCUAAUGAUGGAUUAAUUAGGCUUAAUAGAUUCGUCUCGCGAAUUAGCACAAGGUUCUGCAAUUAGUUUUAUAAUUAGCUCAUGUUUAGUCCUCCUAAUUAGCAUCCGAACAUCCGAUGUGUAACAGUUUAGCACCUCGUAUCCAAACAGCCAUGUAGUAUGAUCGGAGAGAAAGGAACAUUUCGUAAUAGUCACCGAGAAUAAACUAUCCUAUAGUUGCGUUCGGUAUACUUAACGGUUUCUACUAAGCUGGAUACUAGUUCAAAUGGUCAAUUUAUUUCUAAAUUCCAGAUCUUUGACAAGGAGAGAAAGAAAUGGUCCACACAGGAAGACCCACUCGAAUCAGAGGGAACAUAUUUGAAAAUGGGAAUCCACCAAACAGGUUACGCGCGGAUUAAAAAAAGGUGAGCAAAUAAUCGAGUAGGAGGAGGAGGGGGUUAACUAAACCCACUAUCAUUAACAUAUGAUUCCCUGCUGUUUGAUUCCUGGUUGGAGAAAAUUUGCAGAAUCGACCACGCUAGUGCAUUAUUGCUCUAUCAACUUUGGAGUUGUAGACACUUUAUUUCAAUAUGGAGGCUGGGAAUUCGUCACUUGGUAGCCCAAAACCAUCAAUGUGGUGUCUGUGGUUGAUUUUAAAAUUAAAUACAAUGUCUUGUUGCUAGUAUCAGUGUAGCGGAACGUACAUUUUCUUUGACGAGUCCUAUCAGCAUACACAAACCGGAGCACGAUUUUAACACACAAGCAUAUCGACGUUGAUUUUUCUUUUUCUACGAGCACACUUCAACUGCCCAUAAAAAAUUGUACCUUAUUCACAGUCACAGCACCGCACAUGGGGUCUGUUCGGCUGAACUUAUAAGCUGGCUGAAAAACUGAAACGGCUAAUUUGUUGUGAGAGAAAAAUAUUGUUCGGUGGCUGAUAAGCUGAAGCGAACAGGCUGAUAAUCUAAUUACCACAUAGUACCACACGGAACAGGCUCCUCUAGAUCGGAGUAAAGAACACGACGAUGCCACAAAGUAUCGUUAACGAACGGCACAUGUGCUUCGAUGAUCAACUGAUUAAGAUCCGCUAAGCCGCUGAGACGGUUUAUAAAUCAGACGCGCGCAGGAGAUUUGCAACAUUUGCCGCUUCAGUUUUUCAAUCGAUCCACGCGUCCAUUGGGUUGGGCCCACGUCGCAGUGACGGCAGGCACAAGGAAAUAUUCUGAGGUCUCAGCGAAUGUACGGCGGCGGGUGGGGUAGUUUCCGGCAGCCGAGGCGAGGGGAGGGUGCGACGACUUGGCAUUUCGGUGCUCGGGAUUCAGCGCGCCGGAAUCGCAACCGCAGUAGGGAUCGGCGGCCGAUCGUCUCGCAGACUGACGGCGACGGCAAAAGCAAAAACAAAACAAAAAUUACCGCGACAGUUUACCAACGCGGCUGGGCUUCGCCAUGCAGUCGGCGCAUCGAGAUUCACAGGGCAAUAACUAUGGCCUCACGCGGCACGUGGAUUUCGGCCGCCGCCUCCUCGGGAUUCGCACGCGCCUGCGCGCUGUCCCUCUCCCUCUCACCCGGCGCUACCGCUACGGGAUCCCCAAUGCCUGCCGCCUACCCCCGGUGCCGGCGCCCACCGCCACCCGAUCCGGCUUCCGGCGAUGCUCUACCUGCCAACGCCGUGUACGCGUACCGGACACAGACCGGGCGGCGGUGCCGGUGGCCGGCCGAUACGGUUGUGAAUUCUUUUUUCUUAAAAAUCAAUCACGCUUGCUUGCAAAAAUGUCCGAAAUGAAGCAGGGCGUGGUAGCGUGGGGACAGGGAACCGAUUGGUUGAGGGUACAGGCUACAAGCGCGAGCAGUGCGGCCCUUUCGUACUCGGAUUCCCGGGCGUGGAAAAAGAGGGAGAGAGGCGGGGUGGUGGUGACGGGACGUGGCGAUGGGAAAAUGGCCAGCUAGGCGACGGCACAGCCAAACGCAUGCUGCCACAACCUACUUGCUUCUACUCCUUCCACUGGGCCCACAAAGGCUGACAUGCGUUGCUUUGUUUCUUCCGUUUGUUCAUCUUGCAUCGGGGUUCGAGCCCCCACGGAAUUACCAGGAUACAAGUACUCCCUCCGUCCCCGUCCCAAAAGAAUGCUUCCUCCGUCCCCAAAAGAAUGCAAUUCUGGAAUAGUGUCAUGAUUUACCGUGUCAAAUUUAACCUAUUAUAGAUGAAAAAGUAUAAAUAUAUAUAAUAUCAAAUAAACAUCAUUAGAUUAAUUACGAAAUGUAUUUUCAUAAUAAAUUAAUUUGGAGCCAUAAAUGUGAAUACUAUUUACUACAAACCUGAUCAAACGAGAAGCACUUUAACUGGCACGCAAACCAUAGUUGAGAGUAGUAACAUUUUCACUGAACCAGUGCUUCAAAUUCAGUUGGUUCAGUUUAUUCCCUCCUUUUGUUCACGGAUUGGACGUGAUUGACUUUAUCGUUGCAGGGUUCUGACGAUGGUUUUAGGAAUGAAGUUGGAGAAUUUUUAAUCUCGGAAAAGGCGUUUCCCGUGAACCAGAAUCAACUGACCGAAGUCGUUCCGUUCCUGAUUCCUGCCUUUGCUGCCGAGAUUGGAAGCGAUCAAACCGCUGACCCCUUCCAUCUCUUCCACUUGGAUCAGGUCAGCGUCCUAAUCUUUUUGUAGUUGCAGUAGUAUGGCUUGAUGUUCACUCGAGCUACUACGGAAUCCAUAUCAAGGGCGUCAAUUCCAUUCCUGCAAGUGGAUAUAGGGUAUUUCGUGUUCAGAUUACCUGAUCGAUCGGUCACCCACAGGAAAACCAAAUUGAUUCAUGUCAUAGGCAGACUGUACUGCAUUCACCAGAUUUUGGACGAAGCUGGUCAAGAACAAUGGUUUCAGGUUUCCUAACGCAGAAAAGACCCAGUCAUCUUGUUUAACACUGCGCAAACUGGAAAAAAAAACAUGACAUCAUAUGUGUUUUUUUUUUUCGAGAAGGGAAAAGAAAUUCUGAAAUCCACAUUGGCCCACAGUACAGGGUUCGUACUACACAAUCGCACUGAUAGCAGGGGGGCUGUCAAUGUCAACGAUUCCCUGACUUAACUCCCCGAAAAAGGACAGGCCGCCACUGUCAUUUGUCAACGCUUCCCUGAGCCAACCAGAAAAAAAGGACGCCCCGCCGGCCACCGUGUCGUCCGGACCUGCCACGCCAGCCUCCGCCGCGGCGCACGGAGUCAACAUUGGCCUGCCCGCCACGUCGCCGCGGCCGUCUCGGACGGACCAGCACGACCUGUUCCCGGGGGCCUGGCGUGGCCGUGGCGUCCCUCUCGCGCCCGCGGCUGCGCGGCGGCUUCGUCGGCGCUUCGCCGAAGGGGAGCCGGGGGUUUGGGUUGGUUGGCCGCGCGGAAGGAGGCAGGAACUGGAGCAGCGGCGACCGGGUCCGGCAGGGGCAGGCAGUCUCGUCUCGCUAGCUGCGCGCGUACGCCGCUCGCUCGGCCGGGACGGAACGCGACGCGACGCAAAGACCGCUUCAACGCCGGUCGGGCCGGUGGUGGCGGACGGGGUCGUGUUCGUGCCAUGCGCGCGAGGUCGCGCGGAACCACCAGUGAAGUUGCGGUGGAUCACGGCCACCAACCUGGUAACCCCGGGCAACGAUCAAGUGGCCUCGGGGCCGGACGAAACCGGGCUCCAUCUCCACGGAUUGGACGGGACGGAGGGGGAUGGGCCGAGCGUCGGGUUUGUCUUGUCUCGUCCCUCUCGCCCAUUCGCCAUUCUGCCACCGCCGCGGGUGCUCCUUUUCCUUUCUCGCGGGCCCCAGCCCCGCGAAGGAAUGUGGGGCCACGUAUGUGUCACGGCGACACGUCAGCGCAGCUGAUGCCCGAGGCCGUGGUGAAAUUGCUCGGAAAAAAGGUUGCCGGCCGGGACGGACAAGUGCGUGGCUCUGGCCGAGCGCCAUGAGCCAGCCGCUGGGCGGGUGCAAUGCAGUGCAAGUGCAACGCAGAGGAGAUGGGACGUUGACACGGAUUAGAUGUUUGGAGCACAUCGCUAUAACCACAGCCGAAAGAGAGCCUCCGGGUGACCCACGGCUGAAAGCGAUAGGAAAGCAUGUGGGGGCUUCAACAAGGGAGAUCCCUGACGAUCAUGACUUCAUGUUGUGGCACCGACUGGAGUGCCAACUGAUGAUCAAGCCUGCACUUAUCUCUGCCCCACAAGAGAAGAGAGGAUGCUGCAAAUUGAUUGCCAGCAGUACAGAUUCUCCAAUGUAUUGCAGCCAAUCAUUAGCUGGUAUAUGCAUGUAUAGCUUUCCCGACCUUUUCAAAUCAUCGCAAGAUUGGUUGAAAAAUAAAGAAUAUGAGAAAUUUCUUAUUCUUGCCGAAAGUUGUUGCACCUGCAGUCAUAUGUAAAUCCAAUACCACAGUUCAUUGUUCUUUCAUUAUUCAUCCGUCUGCUGAUCUCCUUGCAAACUAUUGUAUUUGCGGUAAAGCUCUUGAUGUUGAUGUUGGGCUAGUUAACCGAUUACUGAUAAUGUAUUACUCACCCGGAAAGAAUCAUUACUGUAUUACUUUUAUCAUGACCAGAGGCAUGCAUGUAGGCCAAAUUAAAGGUGAUCAGCUUUGCACACACCAACAUAAAAAGUCUCUUAAGAAAACACUUAUUUUCGCCACUUUGUAACAAAGUGAACUUGCAUUCAGACUGCGGCACCGGUAAUGUCUGCACCAGAAGAUUUAUAAGAAAUGCUUGUGUGAUAAAACAACCACGGGGACCUAGCGUAACCUGGACGUCAUUACACGUCUCUAAUAACCAUUGUACUAGGCUAUAUAUAAAUGAAGCUAACAAAUACUAAAAUGCUGAGCCAUAUGGAACAUAUCCAACAGGGUUGGAGUCCUAAGUUCAGCAUGAAUAGCACUAGGUCCGUUUGUUUCCGCUUAUAAGCGGCUUAUCGGUAAAAAUAAGCGAGAAUUCCAUCAAACGCUUUGCUUAUUUCCACCUAUUCUUGCUUAUGUGGUAAGCCGUUUCAGAGAUUUAAAUUACAAGAAGCGAAAAGCGAGAAAAUCUUCGCUUAGAAUAUAAUUAAGCGUGGCUAGGAGAAGCGUAUCCAAACAUGCCCAUAGAAUUACGGUGAUUUCAUCAUCCGAUCCUCAAGAUAUACCAACGUCUCGUGAAAAACAAAAACAAACACUAAAAUGUCUGGCGUGCAUAAUUAGAGGGAUCCUUCUAGGCGUACCUUCACAUCGAUAUCGCUCAAUUAAAUGUUUUACCAAAUUUCCUAAAAUAUUUACUAGAAAUUUGACUAAGCAGGGAAGAUUUGAGACACAUCUUUUUCGAUAUUACGUCUUUUUUUAUAUAUAAAAAACUGCCAUCCUCGUCCAGAAUUGCGUUAUGUCGAUCCAAAGAAGAGGACGGAAGAUGUUUCACGAGAACGCAGAAGCAAGCUGUUUAACACCACAUCCACUUCCUAACAUCGUUUGGCGGUUUGGGGUAUAAAACACAGCAAUCUACUUAGACCAUAUCGUCGUGAUCUACCCUCAGAGGUAAAAAUAACGGAAAUCAAAGAACAGGUUGAAUAAACAAUGGUAUCUCCAAACCCAAACGGUGCUUUCUGUGGGGUCAUUUCGUUUUCAGCUACUUACUACUAGUACACAUACCACAUAGUAGGAGUAGUAACAAAGAUGGCAUGUCAUAAAAUUUUGAUGCUAGCUAGCUGCUGGAUAAGAGCCCGUGGAUAAAUGGGGUGACAGAGAUCUGUCACUUGCUUUUCAAAGUGCCGAUAAGAUCCAUCAAUCCUAUUGGUUAGUGGCAGGGGAAUGGGGGUUGCUUUCGGCAUAUGCAAAUGUUUUAUAUGUGUGUAUCUUUCCAUGUCAAUGAACUCCCUUCCUGGUUCACUUCACCGGUUAUUCUUUCUGGGAUUAGGUUGGCAAUUCUUAAAGUCCCCACCACAGUUGAAAAUUUGUAUAAGCAGAUGGUCCUGCUACUACUAGUUCUAUAGUGCACGCUGAAAAUCCCCCUCCCUCCCAUGCAUCCUCUUGAUGAUGAUUGCAAAUAAAAAGCUCUCGCUUUCCCUCGACCCCGAAUAUAUGAAAGAAAAAGGGAAUAUCGCCUUUUCUUUUCUUUUUUUCUUCCCUCUGCCCUCCUUUUCGUUGCAGCUUCACAUUUGACAUUGGAGAAAACAACAAGAAAGCAACGCGUCCAUGUAACUGUCCCGAUCAGAAUUCCAGUGGGGUUGAAAAGUUUUCGCGCCGACGUGGACGGGUGAUGAAGGGCCCGGCCGGGGUGGAUGGCUGCCAUCACCGGUGCGUCACCUCGACAACACGCUCAGGAAUUGGCCCCAUCGAUUUUUUGCUGAGCAUUGAGUGUUCCAGCUCCAGUGAAGCCGGAGGAAGGACGGCAAGUCGGGCAAGCUGCUCUCCUCCGACGACGGCAAGGUAACGUCAGCAGGAGACGUCCGCGGCGACCUCCAGCGAAGGCAAGGGAGACGACGCCCGAGGAGAUGAGAUGAGGAUUGAGAUGGUGGCCGCGCAGAUGCCGACCGCGGGCACCUGCCAGGAGGGGUGGGGGAGACCUACGUGCACGGCGCGCCCGGCCACAGCCGCUGCUGUUGGACGGCGCGUCCGGGCCGGCGAGGGAUGGGGACGGGCGCUCCCACGGCACCCAUCGUCGCCAAGGGUCCCCGGCCGGGGCGUCCGUCCGGAGACGGCGCACGUCGCGCUUGCGGUGCACGCACCCGUCGCGCUCGGCGAGGCAAUGUCAACGAGCGACGACACCUUAUCGUACAUACCCAACCAUGCGACGACGAGCCGAUAACGAUGAGGCGACGAGCUGCUGGUAGCUUGCAUGUCGCGUCGGCGUCGGCCGACGAGACGGCACCGGGGCGCCUUUUCGGCUUCAAUGCGUCGAUGGCGCCGGUUGCCCGCGGCGCACGGCUCUGGCGGCCAAGUUACUGCACCUGCGAUCGCGACGCCUACACCUGUGCGUGCUACUUGGAAUCGUUCGCGGGCUGUGGCGCGGAAUGCCGACACGGGACACGUACAUGUAUGAUGCAUCGUGCCGAGAACCUGGCCAGAGCGACGCUGACAUGCAGCCGAGUCUUGCGUUUUUGUCACAUUUGCCAGUGCGGAUGGGUAUAGGAUGAUGGAGUCGCGGCGGAGGAGCCCGGCUGCGGCUGACAGGUAUCGUCGGUCGGCAAAGGCUCAGUGGACGUUGUGCAACGCCUGAUCGGCGGCAGAGGCCACAGCGUCUCCAACAUCAUCACGUGGGAACCCGUAUGUUCUCACGGCCCUUUUCACGCGCGCGGGAUCGCAAGGUGGCCAGAAAGAAAGGAACGGCCCGAAUCCGAAGAGGGGGGCUCAGUGAGCUUCACGCUGGAACCGCGAGAAAGGGAACCUGAAAUAAGCACGAGGCUUGCUGUGCUAAGUGCCCAUGACGUCCUGUGCUCACACUCACAACCUGGCUGCUGAUGCUAGCAGGGUAACGUAGAGUUGCUCAUCUAGGCUGCUGCAUCAAACCAUUUUAGCCAAAAUUAAGGAAGAGGGGGGAAUGUGGAUAGCAGCAGGGCAAAAUGCAUAGCAGAGCUAGUCAGGCGUGAGUAAUCCUUUUGUAAUGCUGGUUAGCCAGCUUGUACAUCUCCUUUGUCAAUGAAAUAGGCACACUCCCGUACCUAUUAGUUAACCAGGCCUCGCACCUUCAGAAGCAUCAAAGCUUGGGCUUCCAGGAAGUACGCCUUUAGCCAUUUGUCCGGAGUAUCUUGAAUCUGAUUGCAUUUUGCAAAGCCCUUGUCCCAUCACCUCUCUGAAGCCAGCAAAGACUCCUGUUUGAGAACAGUACUGCAUCAUAACGGCCAACCCUCAGCGCCUGCAGUAAAAUAAAUUAACUGCCUCAAUAUAUUGCUGCUGUUCCCGCCAAUGCUCUUGUGCACGUGAACUGGGAUGAAAUUUUUUUAAAAUAACUGUGGGGCAAAGCGUAAUUCCCUUGCAGAAUUCCUCCCUAAAACCAGACACAAUAGAUCAUCCAGUAUAUCAUCAUCACUCAACUUCCUCCUGAACUUGGUCAAAGGAGGAGGCCUAUCCAAGCUAGUUAAUUGCUGGUUUGCUUCUCAGAAGAUUUUAGUUGUGAAUAUUACGAGACCCGAAAAACAGUGCCAUCAGUUGGACUAAGUUUUGUGAAUACAAUAGUGGGCAUGCCAUUGUUUUUCUCCUAGAGACAUGCUUUGCUGCUUGUUAUGCAUCGGAAUACAUGUUACUCAGAAAAUAUAAGCUGUUGACGAACCAUAACGAAGUGUAUUUUCAGGAUUGGCUUUCAUAAACAGAGAAAUGAAUACAAUUAAAAAAUCAAUUCACAAAAAAUAUAACUUAACGGGUAUUCACUACAGAACAUUCGACGCCCAUCUUGUUCUAACAUUAUGCUGCAGAAAAGCCUUCAACGAGGAUGAUUUAAAUGCAAAUGAAGCUGAUAUCUGUUCAAGGUCUUACAACGAGGAGGCAACACAUAUUAUGAAAUCCAAAACAGAAUUGCAAAUCGACUCAGUUUAGUCAGGUACUUAAUUAGUUUUACACUCCAUAUUAGAUGGAUAAGAAAAUUACCAAUCUAGCUCAAUAUAUUAAUGCAAAUUGGUAUCUACCAUAUAAUUUAGUUAACGUCAGAUAAAUACCAAUAUCUCAACACCAUCAGAAUAGACAAGUAAAUGGAUAACUCGUUUUACACUAAUAAGUGCCUAUAUAGACUUACGAUUUAUAAGCUUGAACUAGUAUAUGUCAUAAUUUAGGAACCUUGCAGAUAGCCACUAUCUCAAUACCAUCAAAACAAAGUUAAUGAAUGGACGCCAUUACUUCCUAGCGGUAUAAACUUGACCAAGGGGAGAAAACACCCAUAGCUUUGUCUUAAGAGAUGGGAGUACUGAACCCUUUAGCCUUCAGGGAACGACCCGCGAGCACUAGGCUUGAGCUUGGGUGGCUGGUUCGUUCACCGAAAAAUCGUUCUCCUUAAAAGGGGCUGGCUUGGUCGAGCAGCCAUUAAACUAGCUCCCAAAAAGAGAGAAAGAGAUUCUCAAAUGGAGAUUCUGCCAAUCGAGCUAUUGCUUGGUUCUCUAUCCAAGAAUUAUACGAAGUCAAUGGUUUAUUAUUCACUUCUUACAGACAGACAGCUCUAGGCAACUAAACUUUGCAGCCAACACGACAAGCUGCACACAAGGAGAUGCUGGUACUAAUCACUAAACAUUUUAAACAAUUUUCACACUGUUGAUGUUAAUAUAAUUUUAGUACAAUAUACCUGGGUGUAGAAUUCUGAUGCAUUUAUAUAAUCUUGCUUCCUAAAUGCAUAUCACCCUGAAUUUUGAGCUCCAAUUUUUUUUGCUUCAAUAAGAUCGUCACCCUAAACAACUUUUGAGUCAGAUAUAGAUCCAAUGGUAUGAAAAGUGCAACAGUAACUUCAAAAAGAUUCCAAGGAAUCCCAGAAGCCCUUGUAGAUAUCACGAGUAUAAAAACUAGGCAUAUAUUAUUGAUCCCCUGAAAUUCGCUCAUCCAUACAGGAACAGUGAUUAAACUGCCAGGGACCUUUUUAUUUGUCAAAAAGUCUGAACUGGCAAUCACCAGAUAUUUCCCAGUUUUUCUUGGGAAACGGACAACUGGUACCAAACCAGGACUAACAUUAUUUGCACAACCAGUUUCAAUAAUCUUAACGAAAAAUAACAAAAGAGUUAAUGGCAGGUACAUGGCAACUAAAUAUGGAAAUUAGUGGUUCACUGGAAUAUAUAUACUACUUAUAAAUUUUAUUUUCUCCAGGGAAAAAUGAAUCGGUUGCAUGUUUUCUUUAAUAGAACUAAACUUAAAUGAGCGAACAUUCCAACAACACAAGCUAUUCAAGAAACCACUUAAAUUAAACAAGUUCCCUAGAAGAAAUCUAGACAGAGACCUUGGCAGCUAUACAAAUGUGCAAGAACACUGGCAUUUGGCAUUUCGGGGGGUGCAUAAAGAGAAAAGGGGCAAGCACAAGGUACUCUUGAUUUCUUGUUUCAGUCCUGACACUUCAAUAUUACUAAAGCUGCACAGCCAUGUGGAUGAACAAAAAGAUUUGGUUCAGUGGCAUACCUCUAGUUGUGUCCUUUCCAAUUUCAUGUGAUUGAUUAUUCCAUCAACGCUCCAUUCUGUCACAUAUGGAAUUGGGGAAGUGAAAGGAAACAGAAUUUCAACAUCUUUUUUUUUUUGACAAAGAAACCAUCCUGCUUUUAUAGAAAGCAAAUAGUUUGGGGGUUACAGCGUUCUGACUGGGGUACACCAGUUUACCAUGACGAACAGAAAAAAUAGCUACUGAGGGACACGGCCUCAAAACUACAGAUAACAAAAUCAUAGGAAGUCCUCCAACUGCUCAGUUGUCCUCGCCUUCUUCAUGUAUUCUUCUACCUGAUAUAGCAAAUAUUACAUCAGGUGGAGAUCUUGGGAAUUUUUUCUCCAUUCUCAUCUUGUUUCUCACUUUCCAAAGCACCCACUACACAAUGGUAAAAGAAAACUGUUGAAAUAUACAAUGAAUACUUGGAACAUUCUAGAAGAUUUUAGAAAUCACAAGAGACUUUGACAUACAUAAGAAUAAGAUCAUAGCAAAGUAUGAAGGUUCUACAAGACUUUGGAGAUGUCAAGAGCUUAGAGUUGCCAUGCUUCAUGGUAACUUAUGAAUACUCUAGAACAAGAUAUUUAUAUGGUAGGAUAAGGAUGAGAGAAAGUUAUAGAGUUAGAUAUUUGUAAAGAAAAGUGUGCAAGUUGCCACAUGGCAACCCCACAAGGAUCAUGAGCACCUAUAAAUAGAGGUGUUCCCCUCACUCCUACCCAUACCAUAGCAUAAGAGGUCUAGGAGAUUGCAAGGUAGCCAUGUGGUGUAGUGGUGUUAUGAUAGGAUAGCCACACAAAGAGUGUGCAAGCGAGUCUUGUAUCAAAUUGAGUAGUGAAUAAAGGUUUGAGUUUCCUUGUAGACAGUUGGUCUCCCGCAUUGGUGUCGGUGUGAAGGUCUCCUUAAAGUAGUAUGGGCAUAAGAUCUACAAAAGAAGUGAUGUCACGAACACUAGCAAUGUUUCAGUUACAAUGUCAUGAACACUAGCAAGGUCACGAGUCACCUCGUUAGCACUACGGCUUACAUGAACAAAAGCAAUAGAAAUAUAAUAGCUCACUAAUGAUUCGGUGUCAGCGACAAUAGAGCCCAUAAUGGAUCUUUCUCUAACAAUAAACACUGUUUGUUUGAUUUACAUUUCCUUUGUCGUCAUUUCUAAGAUCAACUACAUGCAGUACAUACUAAUGUUUCCUUUCAGAACAAAAGAAAGGAAAAUACUAUUACAGCAAAGAUCAAAGGAAAAGGAAGGUAGUAAAUUAACAUUUUUCAUUCAAUAGACAGGCGCAUUGAUCGAUGAUAGUAAAUUACCAUGAUAUGACGAGCAAAGCAGCUUCCUUGAUUUGUAGGUCCUGCAAAGCUUACGUAGAUGAGAAAUAUUACUUAGUUAAGCGAUUCAAACAAGAACCCAAGAACAAACUCACGAAACCUUGUUUGUAGCGCAUGCACAAAAUGAUGGGACUCUGGUUGUUGGUCGCUAUGUAUAGUUUCUGCCUCGACGUGAGUUUUAACAGCAGGUCACUGGUAGAUACGAAUUGACUACAUGCAUGUUUAGGUGUCCGUUCAUCAAUGUUGGGCGUAUGAUCUUUAAACUUUUGUGCUAGGUGAGUUGUGGUUGGGGGAAGUUAGGUACGGAGUAGGAGUGUGAACACGUCGAGCAUCAUCAUCAUAUUGCGACUUCAAAAUACCGGUGCACUCAAAACUGUUCAAUGCUACAGAUUUAAGUUCUUUUUGUGUAACUGGUGGUAGCCAAUGGUUGAUGUUCGAAACAUUGACGUCACUUGAAAUGAGAUAUAUACAGUAUACUCCUGCGAUCCCCAGUAAAGCUUGACUUUUCAUUCGUUUUCUUUACUUCUGGAUUUGAAUCCCCUUUCAAGUGGUAGGGUGGGAGAUGGGACCCACUUGCCAGCCAACGAAAAGUAGAGCUCAAAUCAUGCAAUGCAGCCCAACACUGCAAAGAUAGGUGGAGCGGUGGCGACGUCCUUGCCGGCUCGUCAUCCUUGACCCCCUCCCUCCUCUCCUUCCUCUGCCUGCACCUCCACUCUUACAAGCUAACCCUGGUCAGGUCCAGGCCACAGCUUGCCGGGUUGGGAGGUUCCUGAUCGACAGAUGGAUGCGGACGCCGAUGUGCCAUAUUGAUUUGCACUUUAACAACAAUUGUAGAUAGAUCAUUGAACUCCAAUCUAUUGAUUUGCACUUUUGUCGAAGGAUCAACCCAUCUCUCAAAUCGAAGCUCCGAAGAUCGGUCAAAAACACUGAUUUUAGUGUUCAAUGGCUCAUGCCAUUCAGUUUCGUUAGGCCGGUGAAAGAACAACACAACUUUCAAAUUUUGAGCUCCAACUAAAAUGAGCCAUUCAGUUUCGUUGAAAGAACAGCACAACUUUCAAAUUUUGAGCUCCAACUAAAAUUUGAAUUAUUUGUUUUCUCUGAUCAAAAACUUGUCCAAAAUGUUCACUGGACAUCCAAGAUCAUUUACUAUCCAAAAAGAUCCAAAGUUUGUAUGUAAAUUUCUUCAGAAAUCAAACUCAAAGUUGGUCACUUGACUCUGUUUUCCGACUUUAAUUUUCAGAAUUUGAUAGAGUUGACUCAGUUCAACAACUUUGACCUGGAAUUUGAAGUGCUUCUGACUUGAAUUGGAUCUCAAAUUUGAUUCCAUUGAGUUCUAAAUACCUUCAACUCAUGAUUCCAAAUUUUGGUUAAUUUUUUCCAAAUUUGGAUCACUUAUUUGAAUUUUUGGUCAAACUUAACUAAAAUUUGAUCUCAACUCCAUUAAACCUUUCUUAAGCCAAAUUCUUCCUUAUGAUCUUAGUAACCUUCUUAGGUUCUUUUUAACCCCAGGUGUUACAGAAUACUACACGACAACACCAUGAUCACAACUAUAAAAAUGUUUGCCUAGGCGCAUGCGUACAUUUAAAUUAUAUGAGAUAUAAUGUUCACACACAAACUCUACAAGCCAUAUAUGAGAGGUGGAUACAUCAUCCAUCCACAUACGUAAAUAAGUCCAUUAGGUUUUAGAUGUCCGGCUAGCAAAUGAUUAUAAAUUAUCAAUUAAUAAUUAGCCAACUCUAAUAUUAGCAAAAAAAUACUUAAGGAAAGUAGAGAAAAACAACUGGAAAAUAAAAUAGGAAAGAAAGAACGAUGAUAGAGCUACUAAGUAAAGAUAUCCUAUGGGCCUGCUCAUGUUCUUUACUUUGUGGCCCAUCAUCCUCACUUCAAUCUAUACAAGCCAUCCUCACUUCAAUCUAUACAAGCCCGAAUAAGAAAGAAGGCAAGCUCGUCUGUUGCUCCGUACUCUGUAGCCAUUAUCCUCUCCAUUGCGCCCGACGGCCAUACUCACGAGUCACGGCAUGGUGCGGCGGCCAGCGGGGCUGAGGUACGCGCGUGUGGGUGAGAUGCAGCGGAGGGACCAGGGAGCACGUAGGUUCGGUGACCAGCCAACGGCCGGGUGCUCUCUCGUAGCGAGCCUGAGCGGCAUCGGGCCGAGCUCCGGAUGAAGCACGUUGGCCGGCCGCGGGCAUGGUCAAGCUUUAGCAGGCUGGUGCGAGCUGCGGAUGCAGAUCCUUCUGCAGCUAGUCUUUGGUGAGGAGCAAGUAGAUUUAGAUGUGGAGGCGGAAGCAAGGACAUUGGGGGCACAGGAGGUGGCGGCAGACACGCACCGAACAACUGAUCAUUUGUCCAACACAUUAGUACCGGACGUCUUUUCGUCCGGUACUAAUGCACCGUGAUAGUCGUCAUGUACAGUGGCACCGGAGCUCCUGUAGUACGAGUUUGGAGCCUCAACCGGUACUAAAUGGCGGCACGUGGACAGCGUGACCGACAGCUAGAUUCGCGAGAAAGCCAUUUAGUACCGGCUGGUGGCUUCAACCGGUAUUAAAUUGUGAGAAUGUCAUUUAGUACCGGCUCGUAGCUUCAACUUCUCUAAAGGAAACCAUUUAGGUACCGGUUGAAGUUAACAGCCAGUACUAAUGUCAAUCAUUUGCUCUAUAUAUAAAUGAGCUGCUUCCUUAUCUUCCUCCCCGAGCAAGCUCACCAUUUGACCGGGCUUUGUUUUUCUUCGCUCGAUCAGUUUCUUCACUAGAUCGGUUAGCAACUUCAUUCUCCUUCCUCUGGUCAUAGUAUUUUAGAUUUUUUAAUGACCUAGUUUUAUGUAUACAAAUGGAGUACUUGUUGCUUUUAGGGGAAUUGAGAGUUUUUUGAAUGAGUUUUACAUUACAAAUGGAAUACUUAUUUAUCUUUUAGAACGAGAAAAAUGAAUAGUUUUUUAGAGCGAGGUGAACGAGGUUUUUUAGAAUAAAUUUUAUAUUACAAAUGCUACAAGAGGAACGGGAAGGACCCUAUGUCAUCAGCGCCUGCACGGUGGUCGGCGACUCGCAGAUAUGGAUAUCCACGAAGGGGGGUGGCACCUUCUCCUUCGACACGACAAGCGGCGUGUGGAGCGAGGCCGGCGACUGGGCGCUGCCGUUCUACGGCCGCGUCGAGUACGCCCCCGAGCUCGCGCUCGGGUUCGGCUUCACGUCCGAAGGCAGGCAGCUCGCUACCUGUGACCUUGGCGUGGCAUCGCCGACGAGCUCACCGGUGCUGCAGGAGGUGUGGGACGAGCUCGCACCGCCGCUGCCGCCACGGUGGGUCCCGGUGAUGUCGUUCCUCCUGCCUCUGGGCGCGGGCAAGUUUUGCGUCGGCCGGAUGGUCGACCUGGCACCGGCGUGGAGACCAUCGCGGUGCUCACCGGCGAGGAGGUUGUGCACGGCAGCAGAGGGGCGCUCAGGAUGAUCAGGCACAAGUCCAGGCGUUACAGCGUCGGCUGCUCGAUGGCUCGACUGCGCUGAACGAAUGAUCCUGAAUUCCUGAUCCCCCGCUCUGUAACGCGUGUUGUAGGCGAGAAUAAUCCACUCCUGUAUCAUUGUAUGGUCAAAUCAAUAAGAUUGCAGGAAAAAUCAAUAAGCAUACAUGUCUAAUUAUCAUCUGCCAGAUUUCUUGCGUUGAUAAUCACCGGUCUGAUUUCUUGUGCUACUGCAAAGUGCAAACCUGAUUGAGUGACUGCCCAAACAUGACUCGACGAUAACUGACGGAGUUUUUCUGCAAAAGUUACCCUGAAUUUCUUGCCAUCGUGAGCGCAGCAGUUAGCCAUCUGAAAAAAACAAAGAAUUCUGUGAUUAAAGCUUGCAGAUUUGAGAGCCCUAUCAGGAGGAUUUCGUUCGUGAGCAUAUCCAACAUGAAAGUUCAUAGCUUGGAUCAGUUGGAUGGAGGUUGUGCGCGGUGGCAGGGGGGCGCUCAGGAUGAUCAAGCACAGGUCUAGGCGUUACAGUUAGAGCAUUGGCUACACGAUGUCCCGACUGAUGUGAGAGAAUGAUCGUGAAUUCCUGUUCGAUCCCCCAAUUCGUUCGCGUGUCCUUACUCCCUCGAGGACACUCAAUUGCUUGGAUGUGGUUUAUCUCAUGAGUUCUCAAGUGUAGGACAAAUUCAUAUGUAUGCUGUGGGCCAAUUUUAGUUAUGUUCAGAUUUAUAUCGUUGUUCUAGUGGAUGCAUCUCUACAGAGAAAAUUGGACCUCGUGCUGAUGCAGUUGGAUUUUUUUUCCCGAUUCCGAUUUUUCCGGAAAAUGCGGUAUUCCAUCGGGAUACACGGUAUCCGAGCGCGACGUGGGAGAGGCGGGACGAAGCGAGGCGACGUACGAACGGUCGGAGUCGCGAAUCCGUAAGCAACUCGAAUCGGUAACGGCAAUCCGGAACGUGAUCGCUAUUCAAACCCACCACAAGCCGCCUAUAAUAAGCGCGCCCACCCGCCGAGGGAAAAGAACGAACAAUCGAACCACUUGGAUCGAUCCGAUCGCCAGCUGGUUCUGCUGCAAUUCGUGAUCGACAAAAGAUUAAUCAGAGCAAGAAGAUGGGCUUGUCGGAGCUCCUUCCAGAGGACGUGCUUGCUGACGUCCUCCGCCGCCUCGCGCCGCGCUGGCUAGCCACCUCCCGCUGCGUCUGCCGGUCGUGGCGCGCCACCGUCGACAAUCGCGGGCUGCUGAGCGCCGUCGCGGACCUCCUCCCGCGCACCGUCGCUGGAAUCUUCCUCCAACACAGCAGCACCUGGAUGUCGUCAUUCCUCGCCCGUCCCUCCGUGGGGCCCAUGGUCUCCGCCGACCUCGACUACACCUUCUCCGGCGACGGUGACAAGAUUUACGACUCCUUUGAGGUCAGGGACCACUGCAACGGCCUUCUCUUGCUCCAGAACUGCGUGGUGAACCCAGCCACGCAGCAGUGGGCGCACCUGCCCCCGCGGCCGCCGCUUCCGUGCGUGGGGCCUGACUACUUCUACGCCGAUGAGUACCUCGUCUACGAUCCGACCGAUUCGCCAUACUAUGAGGUGUUCUCUAUCCUCCGUGUUCGACGUAAGUUUGAGCUUAGCCCUCGCCAUCAAACCCCGUCGCUGGAGGGAUCACCGUUCACCUUUAAAAAACUGGACCCCGCAUUGGAGGAGCUAGAAUGGCCGCCGUCACCUUGCGUCCUCCAUGUCUUCUCUUCUAGGACGGGGCGAUGGGAGAGGAGGUCCUUUGUUCGAGAAGGGGUGGCCGCGGGGACUAUCGCCCACAUGCGGAUCGAUCCGUAUGUUGAGCAUCGCUAUGCUGUCUACUGGCGAGGAGCACUCUACGUGCAAUGCCAAACUGAUUUUAUUAUGAGGUAGCCACACUUAUUAAUAUGUACUUACUUUAGUAUCUUAGCCAUUAUAAUGAUUAUUCAGUUACAUUAUGAAUUACUACUAACUUUUCCAAUGAAUUUGUUCUUUGUAGGUUAUCACUGUCAAGUGAAAAGUACCAGCUAAUUCAACUACCCGUAACUUUCGAACCGGACGGUUGCAGCGAUGAAGCUUAUGCAAGAAGGCUUUCCAUAGGAAAAUCUGAGAAGGGGGUGUACAGUGUAUUAGUAGAUGAGAAUCAAAUUAAGGUUUGGAUCCUUGAUGACUCUGAUGGUCAAAUCAAGUGGGUGUCAAAGCAGCUGGUUGUCGACUUGCCUAAGCUACAAGACAAAAUCUGCUGUAAGUCCCAAAGUCACGGUCCUUGGGUGUUGCAGGGUAUCAACUUUCGAAUUGACAAAGCUCGUGGAUUUGGAAAUCCAGCGACAGAGCAGUUUGAAUGGGACUCCGAUAAUGAUAAUCUUCUCCCAGACAAUGGCAAUGGAACGGGAUAUAAACAUCAUAUAACCUUCCUUGGGUUUCAUCCCUACAAGGAGGUCAUCUUUCUAAAUGACUCAUCCGUGAGAGUGCUAGCCUAUCAUUUGAACAGCUCGAAGAUCCAAGACAUUGGCUACAUAUAUCCAGAAGAGGAUGUUUACAGCCUUGGCAAUGACCGUGUAUGGGUAGAGCGCUCGUUUCCGUACACGCCUUGCUGGAUGAGAGACUUCCCUCAAAAUGUUUGAUUUAGAAAUCUAUAUAGAGAUAUUCCUAUUGCGGUGUAAACAAAAUUAUCGGGUUGUCCUUUCCUUUUAUUGUUAUUCCCUACAAAAAGGUCUAUUCGUUUUCUUGGAUUUGACCCCUGCUACAGAGAGAUUAUUCUUGCAAACUAAUUACACAUUGAGAAGGGCAUGUCAGGGUGUGCCAUUUUGGACGCCAUCAAUGGCAACUUUGUGCUUGCUCCGGCGUUUGUCCUGCCUGAUAGUAGAAUGGGAUAGUGCGAGAAAGGAACCUGAGAAUUGAACCCUGGUUGCUGCUGAUGCGAGCAAGGUAACGUAGAGCUACUCUAGGCUGCUGCAUCAGGCCAGGGGACGGUAAAUGGAUCAGGUUACUCCGGGGAGGCAUCAUCUCGAGAACACUCCUGAUAGAAUUUUUACUGCGGACGCAAACCUUCAAACAGACGCCAUGCCAGCCUCAGAUUAUGACUGACUGGCCGUCUACAAAUCCACUUGCCUUCUAGCGAGGCAUCUGUCAUCUGGCCUGAAUGUUGUACGCUGUUGGUGCCCCGCAUUUGGGCGGCACGCAGCAAGGAAAUGGUCCCGGCAGAGAAGCUCGUGCUCGUGGUGCCCUCAAAUGGGCGGAUACUAGGUAAACCGUUCAAUCAAUCGACGCCGUGACCAUCACCUGUCGGAUUUCCCCCGGUAUGCUGCAACCUGACCUGACUUGCCCAACCAUGAGCCAUCAGUGACUGACGAGCUUUUAUGCAAAAGCCAUGCUCGGUGGUCAGUGCAGCAAACCAGCAAUUGCCACUUGCCAGCUCAAAAGGAUUCUCCUGUGAUUUAAGCGCACGGAAACUCGUGUUGGAGAGAGCAAUCAGGGAGUUCGUGAUCUGGUGCAGGCCGCGCGUUAAAAAAAAAAAGAAGAAGAACAGAAAACACGGCCCCAUCUAUCUCGUUCCAAUUGGGCCUAAUUUUUCUUAUGGGCCGUACGGGUCAGGGACGACACGACACGGCUGGCGGGCCCGCCUUUCCUUCUUCCGUCGGCCACAUCUCACCGCCAUGUCCUUCUACUAGGCCUGUUCACUCGCGGGUUACACCGGUUUCCGCUGGUUUUUGAGACCAGCCCGACAGUGGACAGUUUGCUUGGGUUAAUCUGAUCUGUAAUACAUAAGCAUGUGAUGGUUAAGCGGGUUGAACUGGCUGGUUCAACGGUUUAAUUGGUUUGGAAUCAGUUCGCAAGCUGCUGUUGCCUUACCCUUUGACCGAAGAUUGCUUCACUGAUAGCUUCAUCAGUUAAAUGCAGAGCUGCUCCAGUUAAUAUUUCCUCUUUUUUUAGAGAAUAAACAACGUUUACUUAAGCUAAUGCCACUAAUAUAAUACCCAGGCCAUUCGUCAUUAAGGCCUUAGUCCAAAUCUGUAGCGGGCAUCUAGUAGUAACAUUAUGUGCUACAAAAUAAAAUUACAGUAAACACAGUUUAUGUCACUAAUUAUCCAUCAUCAUGCUAAAUGACAGACUUCCAGUGUUGCUUGAGAGACUUCCAUUUUAACAUAUUCACUUGCUUGGUGAGUGAUGGGAACAAGAAUGCAUCUUCAAUCAGCCUAUAAGACAAUGAAAAUAGAGAAGACAAUCACUCAUCAAAAUAAAGCAAAAUGAAGCAGUUCAAAUAAACACAAUAGAACAACAGUGUUGAGCAAGCAUUGGUAAAGAGACAUUUAUAGUGGAACCAGGCAAUGGUAUUAUAUAAGCCAUAUGUAAAAUCAACAUUUUAUCAGUUACACAAGCAACAUAGAAGAGACAAUUGGAUACUUAUGUAAGGAUUAAAUACAAGAAUUUCAAAUAGACCAAGAUGGUUCAUGUAACAAAGCAUGUAACUAGGAGCCUGUUCCUAACAUGUCAGACUCACAUCCAAAGGAUUGGUGACAUACCUCUUGCUUCAAAUGACAGGAAGGAACUUUAAUCUCCACAAUUCAACUAUGCAAGCUCUACAGUUAGAUGAUUAAUGUAAGCUAACAGUGAGAUGAUUAAUAUAAGCUAACAAGUUAUAAUCAGAAAUCUUGAUAAUAAAUGAAUAUGAUUGAUACUUUCUUCAAGUGCUUCACAAUUUUUUAAAUCUCUUAUGAUUUCUUUUAGAUCCACAUUUCUGGACGAUGAACGUAGCCAGCUAUAUGCACAUAUCAGUGCCUCAACCAUCUUGGGUGACAAAGAGCUUCGAAAGGGAGAAACCACUCAACCACUGGUGCUAAAAGCAGACUCUGAAGCUACCGUAGACACUUGUACUGCCAAAACAUCUUUGGCUACUUUUGACAAUACAGGAUAUUUACUGGAGUUAACUUUCCACCAAUUCAAGAUGUCAAACUGUUCUGUGUUCUUCUCACAAUUAUCUUUCAGAUAUCUUGAUAACUCUGAAUUGAUUUCCUUGGUUUCGAUCUCUUUGAGGUAAAGAGCAAACUAUGACACUAAGCUGUGAGAAAUGUCAUCGACAUGCUCUUCAAUAUCGAUUGAAAGCUGAUGCUAGCACCAUAUGAUGAAGUAUUAGCAGCAGCCUCAAACAUAAAAAUUAUAUAAGCGACUGAGACCUACUUCAAUUGUGUUACAAAAUUUCUUUUCCUUCACUUUGUCAUGUAGAAUUUUAGAGGAAAACUCUAUAAAUUUCAGCUUGAACCUUGGGUCCAAAGCAACCGCCAUAAAUAACAAUGGAUUCAUGAUGGCAAAAUUUCCCCAAUAUUUAUCAAAUUUGUUUUUCAUCUGUACAGCCAUCAUUCUUCAAGCAUGGUCAUUUAUUCUAUAUAGUUUGUCUAGCUUAUCAUGUAUGGAGAUAAAAUUAUGGAAAAAGAUACUCAGAUAUCAUAUAUUGCGAACUAGAGAGUCUUACCGUCACAUCGCAAAAUGGCUUCAUAACCAUAAGGAACUCCCUUGCAUAUGCAGCCGGAAAAGCCCUCCACCCGGAAAACCCCGGCGAGAUGGACUUCGCCUCCAUUGGCAGCAGCAGCAACGGCAUCAUCUCCAUGGAUCCCGACGUAAACACUUUCCUCUACGACGGCGCCUCCCACGGCCUCCGCGUGAUGCCCGCGCCGCACGCGCCCAAGCACGCUUCGGUCUCCCUGACCGUCGGUGAGGACCUCUACAUCCUCGAGAGGAACCCUGGAACCGAGGAAGAAGAUCAUUCCUUCGAGGCUCUCAUCCACCGCGGCCCGAGCGACGAAAUUGUCACCGAUAUCUCCGACGAGAAAUAGUUCUGGCGCUGUCUCCCGCCGCCUCCCUACGCCUACGAUGACAACGAGUACCGGAAGGUUGGGGAUUACGAAGAAUACCGCCGGCGAUGCUACGAGAGGAACGGGAAGGACCCCUAUGUCAUCAGCGCCUACACUGUGGUCAGCGACUCGCAGAUAUGGAUAUCCACGAAGGGGGGGUGGCACCUUCUCCUUCGACACGACAAGCGGCGUGUGGAGCGAGGCCGGCGACUGGGCGCUGCCGUUCUACGGCCGCAUCGAGUACGCCCCCGAGCUCGCGCUCUGGUUCGGCUUCACGUCCGAAGGCAGGCAGCUCGCUACCUGUGACCUUGGCGCGGCAUCGCCGACGAGCUCACCGGUGCUGCAGGAGGUGUGGGACGAGUUCGCACCACCGCUGCCGCCACGGUGGGUCCCGGUGAUGUCGUUCCUCCUGCCUCUGGGCGCGGGCAAGUUUUUGCGUCGGCCGGAUGGUCGACCUGGCACAGGAAGGCUGGUGCCGGGGGAAGAGCGGCAAUGACUACCUUGACGUGGAGACCUUCGCGGUGCUCACCGGCGUGGAGGUUGUGCGCGGCAGCAGAGGGGCGCUCAGGAUGAUCAGGCACAAGUCCAGGCGUUACAGCGUCGGCUGCUCGAUGGCUCGACUGCGCUGAACGAGGGAUCCUGAAUUCCUGAUCCCCCGCUCUGUAACUCGUGUUGCAGGCGAGAAUAAUCCACUCCUGUAUCAUUGUAUGGUCAAAUCAAUAAGAUUGCAGGUCAAAUCAAUAAGCAUACAUGUCUAAUUAUCAUCUGCCAGAUUUCUUGCGUUGAUAAUCACCGGUCUGAUUUCUUGUGCUAUUGCAAAGUGCAAACCUGAUUGAGUGACUGCCCAAACAUGACUCGACGAUAACUGAUGGAGUUUUUCUGCAAAAGUUACCCUGAAUUUCUUGCCAUCGUGAGCGCAGCAGUUGCCAUCUAAAAAAAGAAAGAAUUCUAUGAUUAAAGCUUGCAGAUUUGAGAGCCCUAUCAGGAGGAUUUCGUUCGUGGGCGUAUCCAACAUGAAAGUUCAUAGCUUGGAUCAGUUGGAUGGAGGUUGUGCGCGGUGGCAGAGGGGCGCUCAGGAGCAAGCAUAGGUCUAGGCGUUACAGUUGCAGCAUUGGCUACACGAUGUCGCGACUGAUGUGAGAGAAUGAUCGUGAAUUCCUGUUCGAUCCCCCAAUUUGUAACGCGUGUUGUGGGCGAGAAUAAUCCACCCGUGUCUCACUGUAUGGUCAGACUAAUCAGAUUCUAGGUCAAAUCAAUCAGCAUGCAUGUUUAAUUAUCAUCUGUCAGAUUUCCUGUGUUGAUAAUCAGAUUGCAGGCCAAAUCUAUCAGUAUCCAUGUUUAAUUAUCAUGUUUCUGAUUUCUUUGUUAAUAAUCACCUGGCCGAUUUCUUGUGCUACUGCAAACCUGGCUGCCCCAAACAUAAGGCACCGAUAACUGACGUAGAUUUUCUGCAAAAACUCCACUGAAUUUCUUGCCAUCGUGAGUGCAGCAGUUGCCAUCUGAAAAGAAGAUUCUCCUGUGAUUAUGCUCUAUGAUCAAACUGGUGUGAACAAAAAUGCAGAUCCGAGAGAGCGGUCAGGAGGAUUUUAUUCGUGGUCAUAUUCAGCAUGAGCAGUAGCUGUGUCUGCUGAAACCUGAAUGUUCAGAGCUUUGGAUGGAUCAUAGUCGAACCAGGUCAGUGUAGGAUUUGUUGUGUCUUCGGCCGUAUACGGGCCGCGCGCAGGAGCUGGAAUCUUGCAGGCAGGCUUCAUUCAGCUCAUCAGCUGCCGCGCAGGCCCGGGCCCAUCUAUCUCGCUUUGCGGUGACCCGAAGGCAUGCAUCCUCCCGAUUCCCCGUUCCGGAGACGGCACCACCCUUGCUGCCGGUCUCGUCACCACACCAACCCACACCCCAACCCCCCCUCCUCCGCUCCACGCCUCCACCCCACCACAGGCGAGGGCGACUCCUUCCUUCCUCGCAGCCGCCCGCCCCAACCCCGAUCGCCUCGCCCCCGCGCUGCCGCGGCGCGCGCGCAGUGUCCACCGACCCGGCCGGCCUCUCUGUGGGGGCGCAUCUGGUGGCUACCUCGCCAGGCUAGGGUUGGGUGGCCCUCUUCUACCUUCGUCUCGCGCGAGCAGGCUCCGGGCGCGCGUCAUCGUCCCUCGCUCUCUCCGGUUGCGACCGCGUGCCGUCCUCGGGAGCUUUCUCGCGCCACGGGAGGGCCGCCACCGCCGCUCCGUCCACCGGCGAAUUACCUAGAGGUACGGGCCCCAUCAAACCCCCGCCCUCUUCGGUCCUGCCUUUCCCCAGAUCUGGCCGCUUGAUAGCAAAAUUGAAUUCGUUCGCGUGUUUCCUUACUCCCUCGAGGAUACUCAAUUGCCUGGAUGUGGUUUAUCUCAUGAGCUCUCAUGUGUAGUACCAAUUCAUUUGUCUGCUGUGGGCCAAUUUUAGUUAUGUUCAGAUUUAUAUCGUUGUUCUAGUGGAUGCAUCUCUACAGAGAAAAUUGGACUUCGUGCUGAUGCAGUUGGACAGAGGCUGCAGCUAAUGUGGUUAGCUUGUCGACUGUAAACCUACCAGUUUUCCCUAUGUAGAUUGGGGGGAAAAACUAGACCUCCGAAAUUGUGAGGGUGUGAGUGUCGUUAGUGAUCUGGUGUAGUUUAGAGCAUGGAGCUAUGGACAGCAGAGUGUUGAAGUUUGUAUGGAUGCUAAAGGAAGAAGGUUGUGUUUGGCAUAGAAUGGUUUAUCUAGGAUUUGAUAGCCAGAGACUAAGACAAUGUUCAUGAUGUAACGGGGAAUAGGGAACCUGAGCCUGUAAACUAGGCCAACCGUUAGCUAGCGUCGCAUGAAAAUUCCCAAUCCAACUCAUUCGAUAUACUUGAUGGCUAUAUUCCAAAACGUAGCACUCUUUAAAACCAUGGUGUGCUAUGGUGGAAUCGAAACAAAUCUUCCCUACCCCACGAACUUGCCCAUUUUGUUAUUUAUGACUGCUGGAUGUCCCCUUCACUGGUGUGGGCACCAAUAAAACCAUACGAUGUUCCACUAUUUGCCCAGCUCACUGUCUGCUUGCCUUUCUUCUAGUGUUUUGCGCAUCAACCUUUCCUUGAGAAUUCUAGUAUUCAACUGUACUGAGCCCUACUUGUGACUUGUAUUUCAUUGUCGUGAACUUGUGAAAGCCUAGCUACGCAACUGGUUCUUGCUGUAUUGAAAAUUUUAUGCCGCUCCAUGGAUUGAAGAGACAUUAUGCUAUGAUGCAGAAUUUGUAAUUUUCUGUUGCUGCUAGUCAUAUUUACUCAUGAUUACUCUCAUGCUAAAUUGAACAUUUAACCGUAUAGAGUGCUUACCCAAAAAAAAACCAUAUAGAGUGCUUAUUUUGACAAUAUUUUCAAUUUCAGCCCAUAUUUUUUUUAUCACCUGGCAAUAUUUUGGUUAGUAACCAUUUCAUCUUCAGCCUGAUUGAUGUGGUAUUUUCUAGGUGAAACUAUUCAUAGUGCUCAAGAUGUUAAGAUUAUAAAUGAUAUUGCUGGAUUGGUUCAGUACGCACCAUAAACAUGUUUGUGUUUUGUCAGUGCAUAUGACAACAACUUCAUGUUUCUUUUACACGUGGCAUUGCAGAACAACUAUCUUGGGGGUCUAAACCUAAAGAGUCAUUUGAAGUCUGGAAGUUUCUGUUGAAGAGUACAUAGAAAUAUCUCCUGACUUUUGAGGAAGACUGCGGAGCUUCUAAAUGUGAAACUUCUUUUUAUUGGUCACUCCUGGAUGCUGUUGAACUCAUCCUCUCACGUUACUUGAAGCUCAAGGUCGAACUGAUAUGAACACUUCAAGAAUGGAACAAGCAACAGGUGUAAGUGGUCCUGAACACAUAAUUGAUAUUCCAAGGGACACUGGUUCUUCUGCUUCAGUUUCUCGCAGUGCGGAUAGAGAGAACCAUGAAGAAUUAAAUCCUGUGGACAGGCCUUCAACUAGAGCUCUAGUACCUGCCUUGCAGGCACCAUCAGCAAUAGGUGCUGUACCUAGUGCAGGGCAGACUUCAGGCACUAGGAGAAGUGAUAACUAUGUUCGUCGCCACAGAAGCCCUUUGAAUUCUGGACUGUGGAUUUCAAUUGAAGUUAUUGUCAAUGUGAGCCAGAUUGUAGCUGCCAUUGUUGUUCUUUGUCUGUCAAGAAAGGAGCAUCCACAAGCUCCAUUACUUGAGUGGGUCAUAGGUUAUACGGUUGGUUGUUUUGCAACAUUACCCCAUCUCUAUUGGCGCUAUAUACACCGUAAUAUUGUAAAUGGUGAGCAUGAGCCAGCACACGCGCCUCAAGGGUCUUCUCAUAACAACUCAACUGAAGCCACUCAUGCAGCAAGUGCAUCGGAGCGUCGUAGGAAUGCUGCACGAAAUGCGGUGCUUGCUAAUCCCAGGUACAGACUCAUGUCAUCUUUAUGGUUUUACUUGGUUUGCCUUCAUUUCUUAAAUUGUAAUGGAUAUUUACAAUGAAUGCAGUGAACUGUGCGUUUUUUGUUCAUGUAUGCAUGCUGCAUCAGCACUGUGACUAUACAUUAAUGAUGAAUGCAUUGUGCCAUCUGCAGGAUUAAUGCACUGUUUGACCACUUCAAGAUGGCCCUGGAUUGUUUCUUUGCUGUAUGGUUUGUUGUUGGAAAUGUGUGGAUAUUUGGUGGGCGUUCUUCUGCUGCUGAUGCUCCAAACUUGUACAGGUAAACGCAAACUGUCCUUCCAUGAAUGAGAUGUUAUCUCCUUUAUCCUGUUGCUGACUUUUGCUUCCCACCAGGUUAUGUAUUGUGUUCCUCACUUUUAGUUGCAUUGGGUAUGCCAUGCCGUUCAUCCUCUGCGCAAUGAUAUGCUGCUGCCUUCCAUGCAUUAUAUCUGUUAUGGGUUUUAGAGAAGAUACAAACAACACAAGAGGGGCUACAUCGGAAUCUAUCAAUGCUUUGCCUACAUAUAAAUUCAAAACCAAGAAACGCCGCCAUGGUUCAGGAAGUGAAGCUGAAGGCCAAGAAGGUGGGAUAGUGGCUGCAGGGACUGAGAAGGAGCGAUCACUUUCUGCUGAAGAUGCUGUAUGCUUAUCCAUUUAUUUCUAACUGGACUCAUUUUUUUUCAAAGAAUUAAGUUUUUUUUUUUAUCAUCAUCACUUAUGUCUUUUCUUGUACCCUUUGGUAUUGCAGGUAUGCUGCAUCUGUCUUGCCAAGUAUGCACACAAUGAUGAGCUUCGUGAACUUCCAUGCUCACAUUGUUUCCACAAGGAUUGUGUUGAUAAAUGGCUCAAGAUAAACGCACUUUGCCCUUUGUGCAAAUCUGAGAUAGCAAGCUCAUCUAGCACUUCUGAUACACGUCAAUCAGAGCAGAAUGCUAUUCCAGUGCAGGAGAUUGAAAUGCAUUAGGUUGGUCCGCGCUCCCUCCUUAUCACAUAAGCAUACCGCUGCGUGGGGUUCCCUGCCUUCAUGUAUAAAGUUGGAGAUUGAUGUAUGGAUUGUAGUGACGCCUAGGGUUCCUUUUAUCAUUGUUAUCUUGGAGAUGUUACAGCUCUUCUCGCUGUCACCCAACAAUGCCAAGCCAAUGCUACCCAGGUUUCCAUCAGUGUGGAUUUCACCUUGUGUUCUGUUUUGGAAGGCACUGGAUGUCUACUUUGUAGUUUCUAGUGCAAAAGAGGUGGGCCAGGUCCAGGUACAUACAUGAUCCGUUAACUUGCGUGAUCCUAGUCAACUUCGCUGUAUUUUUCAUUCAUGAAAGAUAUUCAGUUGGUGACUACAAAAAUCUGGUAAAAACCUGUUCCACUUGAUAGGAGGCGUGAACUUUCUGACUAAUGGAUAAAGUCUUGUUUCGGAUAUGUCCAUCUCUGUUUUAUGCGUCACUCAUGCGAAUUUAUGAACGAAUACCAAGACUUUCUUGGUUUUGUAGUCCUGCAGGGUAAUGUUAUGAAACUGUGGUUGAAUCAGCUCUUUAGGUGCUUAUGCUGGUACUCAAGUUUACGCAUACGCUCACCCUGAGCACUUGUGAAAUUAGCAUUUAAUCAAUGUUUGAAUAGAUCGAAAGCUUUUUGGAGAUUAGUUUGUAUGGGCUGGUGCCUAUUUAUUUCGGUUAUAUAUCUAGAAAAGUUAAAAUGGCUAAUAAUUAAGUCAAAAUGGCUAAUAAUUUGGGGGUGGGAAUGCAAUUUUGGCUUGCCGUAAUUCCUCAAGACCUCCAUGUUAUGAACUUACGAUUUACCGUAAUCAACACAUACUACUAAUUACGUCGAUCGGCGUGUGAGUGCUCGCUUGCGGCUUAUCUGAGCUUUAUACCAUUGCUUCACCUUCACGGGGAUAACGGCAGCUUCUUCCUUCCCUCGGUGUUCUGCGGGACCUUGAGCGACGGCUUGCGCUCCGGUGUAGACGCGCGUUUCUCCGUGGCUCCCUCCCCAAUCCUCUGCUCGAACGGUGUCCUCAACUCACCCGACCCCUUCCGCUCCAGCGGCGAAGCCGAGUCCAUGCGUGAGUGGUCGCUGAGGGAAGACGCUCCCGGGCCGCCGAAAUCGCGCAUGGCCGUGGCUUCCUCCUGCUCUGCUCUCUCCCUCUUCUUCCCAUGGCUGCUCCCGUUCGUCGACGGCGACGAGUCGCUCCAGAACUGCUGCUUGAAGUGGGGCGCCGUCAUGUCCUUGCGGUCGUAGUGCUGCAGCCACGCGCGGAACCGCUUCAGCGACACGCUCCCGGAGCCGGGCUCCGCCGCCCGGAGCUCGUGCCGCUCCCGGUAGACGAAGGUGGCGAGGUAGACGAUGAGCACUAUCGACGACGCCACCGCGGUGAUGAGGAACAGCCCGCUGAAGUUCCACAGGGUGAGGCUGGCGGUGGACGCGUCCACGCCGUCGCCGCCGCAGGCCCCCGGCGCGCCGAACCAUUUCCUCUCGAUCAGCCCCAUGUCGUACCCUUCCGUCAGCCCCACGAUGGCGCGCGACACCUCCGGCGCCAUGGGGGAUCCUUUCGGGAACACGAAGCCGAAGCCGGUGCCCUUGUAGACGGGUCCCGCCAUGGUGUAGCCGUCGCAGUACUGCGACAGGAAGAUCUUGAGGUAGGGGACCUCGUCGAACACCGCGGCGACCCCGCCAUUGUCGGAGCCUCUGGACAGCGCGUCGGCGUACUCGGCCGGCGUCCUGUAGCUCCUCAGCUUGCUCUGGUCGAAGUUCAUCUUCAGGAGCUCGCCGGCGACGAAGGAACCCUCCUGGUAGCCGACGUAGUCGCCGUUGUUGAUGAGAUAGUUGACGUCCGUCACCGAUGGAUUGAGCUUCUGGACCGUCAGCAUCGAUGUCAAGCUGGCCGUGUAGCUCGACGUCAGGAUCAGGACGGCGAACACCCAUAUCACCAUCAAGAACUUUGACAGGUUGCUCUCCACAUUCUCCCCUGCACACCAUGAGAAAUUGGCCGUUUAAGUAGCCGCUCUUAGUUUUCUUAAGAAGCUGUCCAGAGCAGAGGUGAGCAUGAGCUCACUGUGUGCGAAGACGAGGGUGGAGAAGGCGAAGUGGAAGAUGAUGCCGAACUGCUGCAGCGGCGUGCCGCGGAACUCGGGGUUGAUCCGGUGCUCUAUCACCCAGAUGACGAAGCCGGUGAAGAUGAAGGCGGCGAGGCUGGCGAGCCAGAGGGCGGGGGUGAGAGGCUUCAGGAAGAAGAACAUGCCCGUGGCCGUCUGCGACUGCACCGCCACCACCAUCGACCACCCGGACUCGGUGAACGGCAUCGUGAAGUCCACCUCGGCCAUCCUGCUCCCGGUGAUGGCCACGUCGCCGACGACGGCAUCAGCUUUCUGCAGCGGCAAGAUUAGUAGACAAUUCAUGGUGAGUAGAGUACAGAGCACAGGUACAGACGAGGGACCAUAUUGUCAUGGCUACUGAUGACUGGCCAAGUGGCCAACUACUGAAGAAAUCGUCAGCAAUUUGCCCGAGCUCACCUGUCCGGGAACAAGGUCAACCAGUUGCUCGUAAGAACCCGAGUUGCCACCGCCAAUGCCGUAGAAUGGCUCGUACCGGUAGUAGACCGGAUACGGCAGUGCCUUGAUGGCCGCGUCGAACACAUCGAUGCAGUAGCCUGAGAUCACCGUCCUAUUGGUCGUCGUGUCGUUGUACACCUGCACGAACUCCCAGAACCCAUGCUUCACCGGCACGGCGAUGACGAGCUCUUGCCCGGCCGGCGAGAAUGCCCACCCUUUCGGAACUCGAAUGUCUGACUGUUCCAAGCCCGGGAAAACGACAUCCUUCAAACCUUCGCCGCUGCCGUCGUUGUCGAGCUCCGGUGAGAUCCCAGAUUUCCUUGUCCACAACCCCACCGUCCUGGGGCCUUCUGCGGCGAAGUUGACGAUCUCGUAAGCCGGCGCUUGCAGCUGCCCGUCCAACACCCUGAACUUCCCGGCCAGCCCGUCGAACGCCGUGUCACGCAGAGCCUUGAGCAAUUUUUCGCCGGUGGCCGACACGCCGAGCUGGUCCAGUUCCGUCGGACCCGUGCUCCCUUCCGGCGGUUCGAAAGCCGAGCCGGAGAUCCCGGCCUCCUCGACGGCGGCAGCGGCAGCGGCUGCCCAUGCCGCGUCGUAGGCCCGGAGCGUCGACACGGUCGGGACCGGGAUGUCUCGAGCGCCAUCGUUGUCCCGCUGCAGCCUCGCCGUGAACCGUUUGGCGAAGUCAGCGGCCUGCCUCGUCGGCGGCGCGUAACGCCGGACGGCGACAACGCCCCGCAUCGCGUCGAUGUCCUCGGGGCUCAGCGCGUCCGCUUCGCCCACGGCGGCCGUGGCGAUCCAGACGUAGCCUUCGGACAUCAUGCCGGCGGUCACGGCCCUGCGGAACAGCCUCAGGGCCAGGGUAAGGGGCAUGUGCACGACGAACACGCGCGUCGUCGUCGCCGCCGACACGCGGUAGAGCACGGCGUCGAGACGGUCGUCGGACGCGUCGGCCGGCACCGCGGCGCGGUGCGCCACGCUGGCGCCGACGCCCCGGAGCGCGUCCGCGAGAGCGGGGGCGAUGGCGGCGCCGGAGGGCGAGUCCUCGUGCAGCAGGACCGCCGCGCGCCACCGGAAGUUUCCCAGGACGCCGGCGACGGGAGCGGCCUGCGAGGAGUCGUCGUCGGCCGAGGCGCGCACGGAGAACGGCGUCGGCGCCGCGGGGACGGCGGAGAAGGAGAGGACGGGGACGUGGGCGCGGCCGCCAAUGUGGGCCACGAACUCGGCCUCCGCGGCCGUCUGCGCCCCGUGGAUGAUGGCCUGCACCUGCGCGUUCUUGAUCAGGUCCACCGCUGCACGCGACAAGCGCACAGUUCAGCCAUGGUCAUCAUCAGGUGUCAGGCAGGCAGAGAAUGACAGGAUGACGACGAGCUCACCGGCGGAAACGGCGGCAACGGCAUCGCCGGAGGAGUCCCUGAAACGGAGCUCGACCCUCGUGGUGGAGUUGGCGUGCACGGCGUAGUAGUCCUCCACCGCCAUCCGGAUGCUGGUCCGCCACCUCCUGCCGGCGACGGACGCCAGGUCGAGUAUGACGCCGACGCGGACGGGCUCCGCCGCUGCGGCCCGGUGGCCGACCAGCGCGCCCAAAACCCACAGCGCGACGAGGGAAGCGGCGGCGGAGGGGAAACGCGUCCCCAUCUCCACGGCGAUCGAUUGCUGCUACGAUGCCCCGCUUCGGCCCAAGGGACCGGCCGGAAAUUUUUAUACAGGGCAUCGCAUCGCGCCCAUCCUUGCCUUUUUGAAUGCUCCUUCUUUGAACGGAGAUUUAGCAGUGGCUAGCUGGGUGAGAUAUGCUGAGCAGAGGCCGGAGGGGACGCCUAGUUCUCUCAGAUGUUGUGUGAAUUUGUCAGAGAACCUAGGAGGAGUUGGGACUGGUGUCUCGUCUCCCGGCUAGACAUCACCAUCCAGCAUAGACGAAGCUGUUUGCUUGGUUCUAGGCCCUCCCCAAAAACUCCCAACUUUGACACUAUGCAAAAAGAAGAUUUCCCAUCACAUCAAACUUACGGUACAUGCAUGGAGUACUAAAUGUAGACGAAAUCAAAAACUAAUUGCACAGUGUUGUUGUACUUUGCGAGACGAAUCUUUUGAGCCUAAUUAGUCAAUAUUUGGACAAUAAUUCACAAAUACAAACGAAACGCUACAGUGUACUACAGUGCUACAACAGUAAUUUUGCAUCUCCAAACUUUGGGCAGCUAAACAAGGCCUUACCUGUUAAAAAAGAGCUGUGUCCAACACGACCAGCUGGUGAGUGAUAUCAAAGAAAGAGAGCGGGUGCUCCCCUGCACUCCAACACGACACAUGGCUGCAUGAUAAUAUUGAUCAUACAAGAACUCCUCUCUCUUUGGAAUGUACUUCAUGUGCAGCUCACACCGGACACACCGGCUGACGUCUCCUAGACGGCUGGACGCUCACUCCGUCACUCCACAUGGCGGGUCGUUUCUACGGCUGCCUGCUUCAGCUCUUCAAGCAGAGUUCAGUAUAGCAUACCCACUGAAAACCACGCACAGCAGUAUAGCAUAUUAUUUGGGAAAGAAAGGGUGCACGGGUCGUUCAACAAGGCGGCCCAAGGAAGUCCACCAAUUGUGGGGAGGCCAGGAGCCUGUGCUUUCUCAGCCCGUCAGCCGUUGUUGCGGAGAGGUAUUUCUUGGGCCCGUCAGCUCUUAAUGCUCUGGAAGCUCUUUGUACCACUCGCUGCUCAAUCAUCCGUUCCUCUACCAGGCUACAGAAAACAAUACUACUUACCAAAUGGAGGUGAUGCACUAGGACUUAAUCUUUUGCAGUUAUGCUGGUAAAUCUCACCAGACUAGUCUCACAAGUCAGAGCCAAAGCUCUGUUCGGACUAAACAACGUUGUCCUGAAACUCUGACCGCCGGUCCACCAAAACUUCUCCUACGUUAAAACAGCAUAUUGUCCUCAUUUCAUUCUUUUCUUAGUCGCCAUGUUCAGUCUGAUCACCAUCUGUCAUUCUCCGGUUAGAAAAUUACUGCCAUGGAAACCGCAACGCGUUUUCAGUAGGAUAAUAGUCACUUCGCCAGUCUUAUUCAGGUUAUGGGAUGACGAAAGGACUGAGGUGUGCAGUAUAAUAGUCACCUCGUAGUAUGGUGCUCGUUACUUGGGUUUGAUCUAGAAGGUUAAGCUGAAAGCAGCAUGUGUUGAUUUCUGAUCAGUGCCUCGUCAAGAAAGUGUUAGGAUUUCCAUGUAUUACUAGAACAUUAACAGCAAUGGAAAUUACUAUGCAAAUUCGAAGGCUUUCAUUGUCAUCACCGAUUCAAUCGGUACAAUUCACCAGUCUUACUCUUGCCCAGCGGAUAAAUGACUCACCAGUCUUGUUUUCAGGCACUAGCGACGAGGCUGUUGCUUUCAUGGGAAAUGACUCAGUGAGAUUAUCCAACGUCAUCAAGGUUUUCAUGACAAGGAAGUUCUACGGAAAUUGCUGAACUAAGCGUCCUCUUUGUAUUUGAUCUCGUUCACGAAAGUGACUAAAUUCAAUCCGUGCUAUCAUCAUCCUAGUUUACGAGGAUAAUUGUUAUAAAUUUGAUUGUGAGUCGGUUCCCUUCCCUUUCGGUAUCUUGGAAUACCUAUUCAUUACAGAAAAUUGCACAAUUUUGAGUGGCACCGAGUGGAAAGUUAUUUUGUUUCAAAACUUGGAUGUUGCCAAAGCAAAAUGCUAUCCUAUGGAGAUCGUUUGGUGCUCAUUAAUGCGGUUUUGACGAGCCUACCGAUGUUUAUGCUAUCCUUUUUGGAGAUACCUAAGGGAGUUCGAAAACGUUUAGAUUUUUUCAGAUCUCAUUUCUUUUGUCAAAGUAAUGAUACUAAGAAAAAA